rnacentral:lncRNA from 1 species
UGUAAAACUCCUGACUUGCAGCGCAAUCCAUAGCUCGAAUCUCGACUUCUUCAAGGCAAUGGAAGCAGUCUCGGACCCUCGUAACGUUCUAGUCAGGACGAGAUUCUGCACCUACUACAAGGCCACCAUGCCUUCAGGAGCAAUCUACCUGGUCAAGAAACUGAACCUGAGUGAGAAAAUCUUCCUGAUGAACAAUUAUAACAGGUUUUCUCAGGAACUCGACGUUCUGGCGAAAUUGAGCAAUUCGAAUGUCAUGUCUCCCUUGGCCUAUUCAUUGACCGAAGGGACCGCUUACCUCUUCUACGAGAACGCUCCGAUGGGAUGUCUGUUCGAUGUUCUUCAUCAUCAGAGGGAAAAACCGGUUCUCGAUUGGCCUAGCAGGUAUAGUAUAGCUGUGGGAGUAGCUCAAGGUCUGGCUUCUCUGCAUGGAUUUCGGUAUGGUCCGAUUCUCUUGCUCGACUUGUCGAGCAAGAACGUUCUUUUGAAGUCUCUUAAGGAGCCGGUUGUUGGAGAUAUCGAGCUUUGUAAAGUCAUUGAUCCUUCGAAGAGUACUGGUAGCAUUUCCACUGUUGCUGGCUCUGUGGGAUACAUCCCUCCAGGUAUGAAAAUGGUACCAGUACCAGAUACAUCUAACUGGUACCAUGAAAGCUUUCUGCUCAAGAAAUGAAGUUUUUGUUUUGUGUUUUUCAGAAUAUGCAUACACAAUGAGGGUGACAAUGGCGGGGAAUGUGUACAGUUUCGGGGUGAUCCUGCUCGAACUGGUGACCGGGAAACCAGCAGUAAGCGGAGGGAUCGAGUUGGCGAAAUGGGCAGUCAGCAAGUCGAAGAAUCAAGUGAAGUGGGACGAGAUAACCGACAACAUAUGGGGAGGAGGAGGCGGCUCAGUUGCUGUAAGAAGUCAGAUGCUUUCUGUUCUUAAGGUUGCUCUCAGUUGCGUCAGUGUCUCCCCAGAUUCGAGACCCAAGAUGAAGAGCGUGUUAAGGAUGAUCCUCAAUGCACGAUGAAAAAUCGUUAGUAAAAGUUAGCGAUUCUAUACGAAAUCCAGAAGAUCACUAGUGGUAUAUGUACAGUUAUUAUAGUUUGAAAGAUUUUGUGCUAUGUAUAACUAGUUAUUUGAAAAGGGUUAAAGAUUCAAACAAUGAAAUGUCAUAGGUAGCCUAUAUUUCAUCCUAGAUCUGCAUAACAAUAUGAACGAACUUUCCGAUAUUUUUUUUCUAAGAUGAUUUAUACAUUGAAAUCAAAACUGUGUGUUGCUUGGAUCAAACAAGAACAGUAAUCUACUUAUCUGUGUCAUCGUUCUAUCCGUAUAAAUUACGAAUUUUUUUCCAGAAAGAACCGUUUUUCCUCUGUGGCCAUCGGUAUGUACAUAGAAACUCGCCCCGACGACAGAAUAGCAAAGCAUCAGCAUCAAUCCUUUAAAGUAACUUGAUGUUCCUUCCUGUGUCAAUAACAAGUUACUUCAGCAACAAGUUGCUUCAAAAGGACAGUGAAUAUGAAUAUUAUGAACACCUUUAUACCUGUAGUGUAAAUGCCACAAUCACCACAGUGAUGAAUAGGGUAGCCGUCUCGAAAAGAUGGAAGUUCAAGUCCAUCGGUUGAUCUACCAGCCAUCCGACCAUUACAUAGAACGGUAUCUGCAAUUUUUUCGGCCACCAGAGAGUUAUUAGCUUGGUUUGCUGGCAAUUUAGUCACAAGAGUUUGUGAUCUUACCGCGAACAUGGCUAUCUGAGUUGAUGAUCCAAUGGCGACGCCAAGAGUUAUAUCCUAUAUGGUUCGGAGCGAAUGUCAGUAAACUUGACCAGCAAGAAAGAAAAAAUAUGUCUUUUUGAGAGACUCACUUGCUUAUCUUUAAUGGCUAACAUGAUGAUUGUGGCAUAUGCAGCAGAGUUCCCGGCUAUCGAAAUCAAUAUCACGUUGAUGAAACCCGUCGACAAGUGCGAUGAUUCCGACGCUCCCUGAUCCAUUCACAACUACAACACCUUAGCUUAGUUUACACUUUCAUCAAUCUAGGUACUAGUACCAAAAGUAAAAAAGAAGUACUAGUACCUGAAUGGCAUCAACGAGAUAUCCAGAGAGCACAGAGACCGCGAGGGUUGAAUUGUGAGCCAAGAAACCGCUUCCCGUUUCUUAAUUUCAGGCACCUCUUCUUCAUCCACGUUGAGACUUUCAUCCUCCUCAUUAUGAGGAUUGUAGAGACUUUGAUGGCUCUUAAGUUGGAAGAACAAGUAAGCAGUAUAUCCAAGAAGCAUCAUGCAACUGCUGAAUCUCAAGAGCGAUAGCUCCGAUUCUCCAAGCACAACCUCUGUAUUAGUUGCACGAAGAACAGCAGGUGUUACGAUACCCAUCAUUGAUACGAAUAGAAAUCCGCAAUCCAUAAGUGCAGCUGCCUGUUGGUAAGACUCAUCAGGAUUUACUAUAAAAAAUCCCAGUUGGUCCACCAUUGUUCUAACUCUGUGCAUUGCCACAACCAUUAUCAGUAAGUUUGAAACCCUGACCAAGCAAGCAACUACUCAGACUGGUGAUGUAUUAUUACCUUGUUGAAAACCUGGACCUGCUUAUCAUGAUGAACAAUUCCUCCGACGAAAAAGGCACAUCCAAGAACCAUGAGCAAAUUCGAUAAGAUUGAUCCUAACAAAGACUGCUGAAUGACUCUUAUCAUUCCACUCUUCAAUGCGAAAACACGAUCAUCUCCGUUGCAUUUCCAAACAUCGCAUUUAACAGACCACCAGCUGCAUUCCCAAACAAAUAAUUCACUUUUUAUAGAGCCCAAAUGAUGGAUGACUUAGAUUUCUGGCUGUUACCUAUUGGUCCCGAAUAGUAAGCAAUCUGCCUGCAUCAGAAUGAUUGAUGGGGCAUUUACGUACGGGAUUAGCGAAUUAUCCAUGGAAUUUCAUGUAUAAACUUCAAUUAAGAAACACAAGCAAUAUGAUUGGACACCGGCGAAUACUUACUCGGUUGCAUAGCCUAGACUCUCAGCCAGAGGUGUUAUUCCUAACAAGCUGAGGAAGAACACCCAUCCCUAACAACAAUGGUGGGAAAAAUUGGACGUGAGAAUGAUGUAUUUGGCACAGAACACCAACUUUUUGGUACAAAAUAGAUAAAAACGGAAAGUGGCAAGUUGCUGAAUGAUUCUUACAGGAUCUCCAUAGAAGUAAUUGACGAUGAUAGCCAGAGGACCAAAUGGCAGCAGCAGUUUGAUUCUGGCUCCCAGCAACACAGUACAGACACUCCCCAGAACAAACUCCGGCCACAAACUGUCGACGACGGCGACUGCAUUAUCACUAUGAUGAUCCAGAAGGAGUUGACUGGAGAUCCUCGUCAUCUCUAUUGAAAUUGCAAAGGGGAGAAGGAAAGACAAUUGGGACAAAGCCAAAGAGUGGCCAGGAUUCCAUUAACUAUAAUGAAUGUUAGGGACAACACAAAGCAAGGAUAAGAGGAUAAGAGAAUAAUAAUAAUUGAAGGUAACAACAAACAAAAGACUAAAUUAUCCUUUCAUAACACAACAAACACUAUCUAAUAACUCCCUCAAACUCACGAUGCAUUAGUGCGAAGCAUCGAAAGUUUGCUUGGGAGAGAUCGAAUUGGCAAAAUGGGUGGCUAGCAAGUCGAAGAGAAAUGGGAUGAGAUAAACCAUCAAUGACUGAUAUUACUCUGACGAACAAUGUAGAAGAAAGAAAGAAUCAAGAGUUCUAACAAUAACAAUUUUUCUAUGGACUCCUGAAAUCUAUUCAUCUGUGUAGUAAUUCUUCCAUCUGUGUAUAGAUCAUAGACAAUUUUCCAGAAAGAACAGUUUCUCUAACUGUGGCCAUCGCUGUGUACAUAGAAACUUGCCCCGACGAUAGAAUAGCAAAGCAUCAGCAUUAAUCCUUUAAAGUAACUUGAUGUUCCUUCCUGCAUCGAAUGAAAUCCACACUUAACACUCCUAUCCACACUUGAUUUACAACACAUUUUAGUUCAACUAUAUGUCGGUCAUCCCUGAAACUUAAGCAUCAGGUUACUGAAAAUUAUGAACAGUAUUCUACCUGUAGUGUAAAUGCGACAAUCACCACAGUGAUGAAAAGGGUAGCCGUCUCGAAGAGAUGGAAGUUCAAGUCCAUCGGUUGAUCUACCAGCCAUCCGACCACUACAUAGAAUGGGAUCUAGACAGUUUUCACAUGUUAGUAUGGCUCUUUGCUGGCAAUUUAGUCGUAGUUGGCCGGAGACGAAAGAGUUUCUGGUCUUACCGCAAACAUGGCUAUCUGAGUCGAUGAUCCAAUGGCGACCCCAAGAGUUAUAUCCUAUAUGGUUCACAGAAUUUUUUUAUUUUGUGACUGUUAGUAAAAAAUUGGCAUGCUUCUACAUAGCAAGAAAGUAAAACACGCCUUUUCGAGAAACUUACUUGCUUAUCUUUAAUGGCAAACAUGAUGGUUGUGGCGUAUGCAGCGGAGUUUCCGGCUAUCGGAAUCAAGAUCACGUUGAUGAAACCCAUUGACAAGUGUGACGAUUCGGACGCUCCCUGAACCAUUCACAACUACAACACCUUAGCUUAGUCUUACACGCAACUCUGCACUUUGAUCAAUCAAGAUACUAGUACCAAUAGUAAAAAAGGAGUACUAGUACCUGAAUAGCAUCAACUAGAUACCCAGACAGCACAGAAACCCAAAGGGUUAGAAUUGCGAGCCAAGAAAUCGCUUCCCAUUUCGUAAUUUCAGGCACCUCCUCUUCUUCUUUAACGUGUCGUUCUUCGUCUAGAACAUCCUCCUGAUUAAUAGGAUUGUAGAGGCUUUGAUGGCUUUUAAGCUGGAAGAACAGGUAAGCAGCAUAUGCAAGAAGCAUCAUGCAACUGCUGAAUCUCGAAAGUGCUAGCUCCGAUUUCCCAAGCUCAACCUCAGUUUUCGUUGCAUGAAGAACAGCCGGUAUGAUGAUACCCAUCACGGAGACCAAUAAAAACCCGCAAUCCACAGCUGCAGCUGCCUUGUUGAAAACCUGAACCUUCUUAUCGUGAUGAACGAUUCCUCCGACGAAGAAGGCACAUCCAAGGACCAUGAGUAGAUUCGAUAAGAUGGAUCCUAACAAAGACUGCUGAAUGACUCUAAUCAUUCCACUCUUCAAUGCGAAAACCGACACAAUCAUCUCCGUUGCAUUUCCAAACGUUGCAUUCAACAGACCACCAACUGUAUAUUCCCAAACAAAUAAUUCAGUAACACUCAUCUCCGGCUAGCCUCACUUUCUAUAGAGAAACCAAAUGAUGGAUGACUUAGAUUUCCGGCCGUUACCUGUUGGUCCCGAGUAGUAAGCAAUCUGCCUGCAUCAGAAUGAUUGAUGGUAAGAGUGAUAGCCAUAGAAUUCCCAUGUGUAAACUCAAUAAGAAACCCACAAAGCAAUUUCAUUGAAUACCAGAAAUCUUACUCGGUUGCAUAGCCUAGACGUUCUGCCAGUGGUGUUAUUCCUAACAAGCUGAGGAAGAAUACCCAUCCCUAACAACAAUGGUGGACAAAUUGGUACAGAACACCACUUUUUGGUACAAAAUAGAUAAAAAGGAAGAGCAAAUUCUCUGGAGUUGCCGAAUGAAUUCUUACGGGGUCUCCAUAGAAGUAAUUGACGAAGAUAGCAAGAGGACCAAAUGGCAGCAAUAUUUUGAUCCUGGCUUUGAGCAAUACAGUGCAAACACUCCCCAGAACAAACUCCGGCCACGAACUGCCGAUGGCGAGGGAGACAGCGGCGGCAUUAUCACGAUGAUGAUGAUCCAGAUGGAGCUGACCGGAGAUCCUUGCCAGCUCCACAUUGCGGUAUCCUGAUUCCAACGAGCUGGAAUCCAACUCCUCGCUUACUAGUCCCAAGUUCUUCAGAAAGGAAAAUUCAAAAUCAUUAGAAACCCAUCAGAAACACAGAAAGUUUGAGAAACCCAUCAGAAAACUUGAUUAAUACCUCCAUGAGCGGCAUUCCGAAAAAUUUCAAGUUUUUGCAGUGGAUCGGAGUUCAAUUUUUCAUCUUUGCUGCCGGAGAGGACGAAAUGCAGUGGAUGGAAUCGACAGCGGGAGAAGAAGAAUGCUGGGCAGGGGAAUCAAUGAGAAGCUGUGAGAUGCAGAGAUUUGUUAGAGGAAGGGAAAGAGAAAGACGCCAUUUUUGUCCCGCGGUAGAGAAGAAGUAAGGGAUCUGAUGCUCAUUUGGAUGCCGUCCCACCAUUGGCUGCUGCGGAAUUGAUUGAGAAUGACAAUCUGGCUCUGAUUCGGAUUAGCGUGUGCGGUGAUGACAGAUGUCUCUCUGUAGGGCAUUUGAGGAGCUGUGAGUUACUCGGUUGAGUUUUGAACGAGCCAGUUCGAGCCAACUUUGACUCAGCUCGUAAGCCAGCUCGAUUGAGGCUGGAUAGGACUCAAUUACAAGCUAGAUAGAGGCUCGAUUAGUGUAACUUGCAAGUUGAUUUUAGAAAUUUCAAUGGUUCAAAUAUUUUUAUUUGGUAUAACAAAGCGAGGAAAUGACGGUCAAUGAUUUUGUUUUAAUGACUAAUUACUUAACUAGCGAGCCAGCUAGAUUGAGACUUGAUAGUUAGCUCUAUUAUCGGCUAGAUUGAGACUCGUGAGUUGGCUCUAUUAUUGGCUAGAUUGAGACUCGUAAGUUGGCUCGACUAGGGUAACUUGCGAGUUAAUUUUAGAAAUUUUAAUGGCUUGAAACUUUGAAUGUUGGAUUAUUUUGCCUUUAUACUAACCGAAUCCAUUUUAAAAUAUUGUGAAUGUUUUAUAAGUUUAUCCGAGUUGAGAUUAUCAAAACUUGCAAACAACCCUAGCCGAACUCAAGUUCGGUAGAACUUCCACACAAGCCAAUCUCGAACCGAGCUCAAUCUCGCACAAUAACCUACCAGAGCCGAGCUUGAUUAUCAUGGCUCAAUUCUAGCUCGCCUAUAAAUCAAGCGAGCCGAGCUCGACCUUUCCGGCUUGAUUCACAAUUUGAUUACGGUCGGAGAAAUCGCUUGUUUAUUGUCACUCAAACACUCAAAACAAACCAUACUUCUCAUAAUCCUACUCACUCCAGUUCCAUCUUUGAACAGAUUGGGAAAAUGCUACAUUUCUCUUUUACAGAAGCUGCUGCGAUGCCAGAAAAUCAAAUGAGUUCAAUAUAAAAAGGCUUCUUCUUUCACUAGAAGGUAAGAUCUUUCGGAUCCUCGAUGAUUUGUGCCAAGGUUUGCAGGAAGGCAGCUAGAUCGGCUCCGUAAAUGACUCGAUGGUCCGCUGUCACGUUCACCUGCAUCUGGUUCUUGAUGCCGAUCCGGCCAUCCUUCGUACCAACUGCUGUCGGCUGAGAUGCCCCAACAGCCAUGAUAGCUCCCUGGAGAAAAAUAUCAGACAAACGUUCAUGAUUUCGCAAUAAUGUCGAGGAAAAGAGAUUCUAUUUGUAGGUAUGUGUGUGUUGAGGCAUACCGUGCCGGGUGGAAGAAUGGCAUCAAAUCGGUCCACUCCGAACAUUCCUAGGUUCGACAGGGUAAAGGUACCUGUUGAUAGUGAAAGCUUCAGCAAACUAUCUAGAUUCGACAUUGGAAGCCAUUCGAAAAACGAUCAAGCUACAUGAUCAUGAACAGAAGCAUGAUUGUCAAAAUUGAUACUUUCUUUCCGAGUCAAGCCAAGGUCAUGCUAGUGAACAGAAAUUUUUUGAUACCUGUGUUGUACUCCUGAGGCUGCAACUGCUUGGCUCUGGCCUUAUCGACCAACUCCUUCCACUUUCUCGACAAUGAAUAAAGAUCGACCUUAUUGGCAUCCUGAAGAACCGGGGUGAUCAACCCGCCAUCGAUGGCUACAGCGACAGCAAUGUUGAUGUUGCUAUUGUACGUAAAGCUAUUGCCGUCUCUGCAGCUGGAAUUCACCACGGGGUGUUUGGCUAAUGCAAGAGCUGUCGCCUUGGCUAGCAGGGCUGUCAUGGUCACUCCCUUCGACUUGACCUACAAGCCGAAAAGGAAAAGACAGGACAUCACAAUCAUAGUUCAUGAUCAAAACAAAUUACGAAAUUUUGAAUCAGCGAAAGAAAGCAACGAGACAACAUAGGAUUGACGUGUUCAAUGCUACUUGCAGUAACCAUUGAUCAGUUGAAGAAGACUGCAUCAAUCCAUGACUACUAACCAUAAAAAAUUCACCCUAAUCUCAAAUCACACUCAUAAAGAUCGAACUUUAUCAUCAAAAUGUAUCCAUCCGUCUUCGGAGAAAAGAUUGAUACUAACCACUCAACAGUUAGAAGAAUGCACCUGAACACUAUGAUCACUAAAUGUAUCUAUCAAACAAUUCAUCCUAAUCUCAAUUCACACUAAUCAAGAUCGCAACUUUUCCAGAAUUUCGUUCAUCAAACUGUAUCAUCCCAAUCGCAAUUGGUGUUCGAAGAAAGAUCCAAUACUACCUGAUACUAACCAUUCAACAGUUAGAAGAAUGCACCCACCCAUUUGAACACUAUGAUCACUAAAUGUACCAUCAGACAAGAUACACGAAUCGCAAUUCAUACUCUAUUGAUCACUCCGAUCACACUAAAUGUAUCUAUCAAACAAUUCAUCCUAAUCUANNNNNNNNNNNNNNNNNNNNNNNNNNNCGUGAACGGCACACCCGUCCCCAACCCAACAUCCUAAGCCUCCGCCGCCACAGGUGGCGCCGGCGGAGCAGAUACAGCCGGCGCCGCCGCAGCUGCCUCAACAUCCUUAGCCACAAUCCUCCCCAGAGGUCCACUUCCAACAAUCCCCGCCAACUCAACCUUCAACUCCUUCGCCAGCUUCUUCGCGUACGGUGACGCCACCACUCUCUUCCCUCCCUCCGACGCCGGAUGCACGGCGGAUCCCAGCUUCGCCGCCGCCGGAGCAGCCGCAACAACAACCGGAGCUGCUGAAACUGCAGCCACGUUCUCAAUUACAGCCGCCGCCGGAGCAGGAGCAGCAGCAGCAGCGGAAGGAGGCCCUCCGGCGGCUUUGGACUUGGCCUCGUCGAUUUCCGCCUCGGACUCGGCCAAAAGCGCAAUGGCAGAGCCGACGGCGGCGACACCACCUUCCUCCACCAUGAUUGCAGCAAGGUACCCGUCGUAGAAAGUCUCCACAUCCAUGUCAGCCUUGUCAGACUCAACAACAACAACACUCUCACCUUUAGAUAACUUCUCCCCUUCCGAUUUGAUCCAGGAAACGAUCUUCCCCUCCGUCAUCGUCGAGCUCAGCGCCGGCAUGAAAAUCUCUCGGAUCUUAGCUUCAACCACCAACUGGGAGUUUCUACUCCGGCGACGGGCGAUUCGCGCCAUUGGGGACGGAUUAGAAGAAGAAGAAGAAGAAUUGCGACAUGGGUUUGGGAGGAACGUGGAUUGGAGAAGGCGAGCCGCCAUAUUUCUUUCUUCUUCAAAGGAUUGAAAUGGAAUUGGAAAGGAUUGAAAAUUGAAUAAAUGGGAAGGGAUUUCUAAGAGUGUGAGACAAUGCAAUGUGGGGUUUGCUCAGGUUUCAUCAAUUAGCUGUGAUUUGCUGCUCUCUGUGUGUAGUUUCUUUGGUAGUAUCGAAGAAGAGAAAGGCGGAGUUUUCUGUGAACUACCAGCUGAGCUACUGCUGUGGCCAGAGAAUGGCAGAGCUGUAAUUUUGGUGCCAAUCUUCAUUGUGUUUUUAUGGGCCGAUUUCUAUACCCAAAUAAGCAGACAUGUUGGCCCAUUAUUAAUUUUGGGCUACCAUAUUCAUGAAACAAUGGUGUUGUGUUAUGACUGGACCGGCCCAUUUUAGGAACGGCGAUCUAACCCCACUUUAGUUUGCUAAAAUAUUUUUUGGGUGGAUGUAAUUGAACUAUUAAAAUCUUAGAUUUUUAUAUUAUAGAGUUUUUGGCCGUUUUCGAUGUGUGUGAGUGGUGCUUUCGUAAUAGAGUUUGGUAGAUGGAUAUUGAAAGGGACGCAUAGGUUAUCUUGUUCAAACUUUUUCGGUGAUGUGCAACAUGCCUGCAGUUGCAAGUGAAGGUGGUCCUUCACGUAACCAAUUGAGUUUCUCAUAAAGUGGUACGUCAAACUCUUUUAUAUCUUCCAGGUUGUGUGGGGAUCGAUCUCACAAUUGGAGCUAAUGCUUAGUUUAUUUUUUGUUUGCUAUUUCGAUUCUCCCUCUUAGUGCUAUCUACGACAAAAAAAUCUUAUUAAAACCUUGAAAGAUGUUCGAAUAUUUCAAGCUGGUUUUUGCAAUUUAUUAACUCGACUCAAGGUUAGUCAUAGCUGCCAUUAACUCCACUCAUGCAAUCGAACACACACUCAUAUUCAAGCUGAACGUAAAUAACACACGACCAGCAUUAUCUCGAAUCAAUCUCAUGCGGCUACUUGACCCGUCCCCAAAUUAGUAGAACUAUCUAAGUUAAGGGUCACCCAUUCGAAAAGGUACUGAUUUCAAAAAGAUUUACGUUUUCAUCCUAACAGACCAAUCGGACCAAUCGAUAUAAUAUAACCCAUCCGGACCCAUCCAACAGUUGAUUACUAAUUUGAAAUAGGGAUUAAUUUGCUCCGCAAAAGAGGUUAGUUGGAAGAAAUUAAAUAAGAAUAAAAAAGAAAUAAUAAUCCCUCCAAAUUCAAAACACACAGAAAAAUCCGUUACGACUCACUCACCAUUUUCCCUCUCUUUUCUCUCUCCCACCAAGAAACUCCACAGAGAGAAAGAGAGUGAGCGAACAAGAAAACAAGAGCUUUCGAUUGAGAAACAAUGGUGAGCAGCAGCAAGAGACAAUCGGAGAGGAAAAUACCUGUGUUCUCGGUCUUCAAGGACCUCUCGAUCAUCAAGAACAUCUUCGUCCUCUCGCCGGAGAAAGAAGACGCAGGCAAAUCGGAGAAAGCUCCGGAGAUAGAAGAAGGAAGAGCGCCGGGAGCUGAAAUGGAGGAGGUUUUGACCGUCGGACGUCAUCCGGACUGCACGAUCGUGAUGUUGCAUCCUAGCGUCAGUCGGCGGCAUUUCCAGAUCAACGUCACGCCGUCCACUCACCAGCUCUUCGUCACCGAUCUUGGUUCCGGUAAGUUAAUGAACUGCUUCGCGAUAGGGAUUUUGACUGUUUUGCUUCGUUUCGGUCGUUUUCUGUUACGUUUUGUUGAUGAAGUUCUGGUUGAUUUGUUCGGUGUGAGAAAGCUGGAUGAACUGUUCGCGCUAGGGAUUUUUGAUUGGUUGUUUCGUUCGUCUACUACGAUUUUGACUGAAUUUGUUGUUGACUUUGGUACUGUAAGUUCACGGAACUUGGGUUUCGGGGAGGAGAAUUGAGCCAGGAGCUCGCGUGGAGGUUGGGGAAGGGGAUACGAUAGUAGUAGGAGCAUCGACGAGAGUGUAUAGGUUGAAUUGGGUGCCGCUGAGCCGCGCCUACGGAAUGCAGAAUCCUUCAGCUACUGCUGCUAUGGUUGAAGAGCGAGAAGCGAUUACUACUACUCCUCAGGUGACUAGAUUUUCUUGAGCUGAAUACUGAGAUGAUUGUGUUGAAUCUUCUUGUUAUUCGUUCUCAAGAAUGGGACCUUUCUAUUCAUUUUCUGGUAGUGAUUGUCAAUUCUUUGCUGUAGAAGAAAGCGCAAGUGAAGGUUAGGGAUUCUGAUGAAGUGAGGGAAGUUUUGAGUAGGAGACUGGACGGCUGUGGAGUUGCUCAGAAGGUUGCUAGUGAGGAAUUUUCUGGUGAAGUCGUCUCAGAGAUGGAGGAGGAUGGUUGUUCUACGAGGUCGGGGAUCAAGAUGCCAGUUCUAGAUGAAGAUAGCGAGGUCAAAAUGCCUGAGGUGGUCAGUUUUUUUCUCCAUAUAUUCUGACACUUUAGUGAAUUUGAUACUUGUCAUGAUCAUAAUUCUUGUGUUGCGAAUUCUUUGUUUGUAGAAGGAAGAUGCAAAGCAUCAGUCUAUGGACUCUGAGGAAGUUUUAAGCAGUGAGAAGGAGGCUGGGAUUUCAGAAACAGUGGAAAAGGAAAGUCCAGUGAGAUGGGAGCUGCAAUCAGAUGUUGGUGUUAGCAUAGAAUCUUUACUGCCUGCUAAGAAAGAGGACGAUGUAGUCGGUGAAACACCUCAGAUCUAUCAGUAUGUGCCCUUUCCAGUGGGGAAAGAGGAAAUCGGGCGGCUGUACAGAAAGAAUGAUGAACCAGUGAAAGUUUCACAGUUGGGAAUUGGUAGUCCUGCUUUUCCUUUGGUUAAGCAAGAUGCAUUGCUAGUGAUAAAACAUGAAGAAGCUCCUGUAAGAUCAGAAGGGGAAUCAAGUUAUUUGAAGCUAACCAAUUCAGACCCUGAACCAUCAAUGAUGUAUACUCAAGAACAUUCAGAAACUGCUGUAGGAGAAGUGGAUUCAGAGAGCAUCUUGCAGCAAGUGCUUUUUCCAAAGGAAGAGGAAACUAAGGUCCCCUUGAGAAAUGAUAAUGAACUGACAGAAGUUUCGUGCUUGGGAAAUGGUGACUCUGAGUACUAUUCUUUUAAAGAUUCACUAGCAGAAGGAGGGAGCCAAGACGUUUCUGUAUUAUUCCAAGGCGAGUCCAGUGAAGUGGCCAAUCUGUACUCUUCUCUACUUUUUGCGGCUGUGAAAGCCCACCUGGACAGGGAGACAUCAUUGAUGAAAAACCAGGACCAUCUAGAAACUGCUCGUUUUGAAGUGAAUGUAUCUUUGACAGUUGAGAAUCUACUUGAAGCAGACCAGCAGCAGGUGUCUUCUGGGGAUAAGGACGAAACGAAAAGCCUGUCCAGCAGUGCUGUUAUUUCUGAAUUGGAUUGUGGAAGUUCUUCAAUGAAGAAUCAGGAAGGUUUAGAGACUGGUCUUUCUGAAUUGGUAUGUGAAAAUUCACCAAUGAAGAACCUGGAAGGUUUUGAGACUUGUAUUUCUGAAUUGGAUUGUGAAAGUUCACCAAUGAAAAACCAGGGAGGUUUAGAGAUUGGUCUUUCUGAAUUCAAUUGUGAAACUUCAUCAAUGAAUAACCAGAAAGGCUUAGAGACUGAUCUUUCUGAAUUGGAUGCUGUGGAUGGGAAUCUGUCUAGGACUGAGUCGCAGCAUAUUUCUCUUGACAAGGAAGACACAGAAGUCACGGAAGUUCAUAAUUUGUCUUCUUCGGAUGAGAACCUACUUAAGUCUGCCCCACAGCUACUGUCCCUUGAGGAAAAAGAGGAAAUAAGCUCUCUGCCCAGUAGUGAUAAUGUUGUCACAGAAGUAGCAUCAGCAGUACAAACAGAUUUCAGGGAUGACAGAUCAUCACUGAUGACGGACCAGAAACAUUUGGAAAUUGGUCUUUCUGAUGCAAACUCAGGGAACUUGCCUUUGAUGAUUGAGAAUCUAUCUGUAGUUGAGUUUGAGGAGACGCCUUUUGUGGGGAAGGAAGACAAUGAGAGUCAGUGUGAAGAUGGUGAUGAAGUUGAGAAAUACAAUGAACUGACGAGGAGUCCUGAACGUUAUUCUAUUGAAGAUUCAGCUACUGGGGAAGGUAAUAAAAAUGGUUCAGCGGAUCUAGAGAUUAAGAAUGCCGAAUCCGAUGAACUGAUGAUAAAUCAUGACUGGGAUUCUGCUGAAAAUGGACCUCCAAAGAGAAGCAGUACCGAAAGCUCAGAGAGGGACAUUAGAAUGCAAGAUUUAGAUUCUCUGCUGGUUGUCGAGGCAACUGAAGCUGAUCUGGAAACUAGUACGUCACUUGAUGCAGACUCCUUGAACGACUUGCAGCAAGGGUCAUUUUCCAAUGAGCGGACAGAAACUUCACAGCUGGGAGCUGGUAGUUUAGAUGUUAUGAAGGAGAAAGAGCUCACAUUUGACGAACUGAAUGAGAGUUUAGGAGGUCAAUCAUUUGAAGAAGCAUCACCAAAGAGUUCUCCCUUAAGAUCACAGAUGGAAGUAAGUGAUGUGGUGGACUUAGAUUCCAUCUUUCUUGCUGCUGUCGAAUCUGAUUUUAGCAGCAAAACUCCACUGAAAGAGGACCAGAGACAUUUAGACAUGUGUAUCUUCGAUGUUGAGUCCUUCAACGUGCCUUCCAAAGUGGAAAAUCUGGAUGCUGCUGCUACAAUUGAUCAACAGAAUGUUAGUGAGAGCAUUGGCGAACAACAUAACAGGAUACCUGCUUGUCUUUCUUUUGAAGAAGCAGAGACUUCUUUCAGCCUGGAUUUAGUGAAAGACCAAGAACAGAAGCAACUUAGCCUUGCAAACGAUGAUAGCUACAUUCAGGAAUUCCUUGUGGAUGGACAAGAUCAGCAAUCCACAGAAGAGCAGAAACUGGAAAUGCAUCAAUUGCAGGAUCAUAGCUCCCUAGAGAAACCGCAAGUCUACGAGAAUGGCAACAUUGAAGAAACCCUGGUGGAUGAACAGAACCAGCAAUCCACAGUAGAGCAAAAGCUGGAAAUGCAGGAUCAAGUCCACGAUAAUGGUAUGACAACUAUCUGCUCUGUAUCAGUGGUUACAGAAUCUAUAACCUCAUCCAUGUCAAUGGAGGAACUUAUCUCAGAGAUCGUGGAGAAUGAAGAGAGCACAACCCCGCAAUCAACUCUUGCUCCCGUACAGAGUUUGGAAGAUGGGAAGAGCGAGAGCGUCAAGUUAGUAAAGAGAACAAGGGUACAGCGAAUUUGGCUCAGGAAAGGUGAACCUGCUUCAGCUGUUCAGCUCCGGAAAAUUGAAAUCAUGGAGAAUAUUAAAGGUGAUGCUGAAACUUGUUCAUCACUAAUCCCAAAGCUUCCUCCUUCCCCAGGUUCUAAAUCAAGGAAACAACUCCUCACUCCAGACAAGGAGAACCGAAGCCCGAAUUUCCAUUUACCGUCUAGAACCAGAGGCAAGUUUGAAGGACUCAAAAGCUCCAGUUUAAGUCCAAAGAUCACAGUUACCUCCAAAAUCCUGGCAGAAGGGGAAAAGGAGAGCUCUACACCUAAAGAGAUUGAUCAACAAAUGAUAGCUACACCAUCAACUUCAGCGGCCAAAGUGAAGUUAGGCCUUCAAUUGGUGUUAAGGGACAGAAUGGGAGAAAGGAUGCCCUUACAAAACCUCAUUAACCGUUCACCUAUGCUAAGCUUUUCUAGGGCUUCACUUAGCAGUGCUUCCACAGGAACGGCUGGUUCUUCCGCAGAGCAGUCUUCUGUGAGUUGCAUGGUUUAUUCAUUUUGCUUGCGAAUUCAUUUUUCUAGAAAGAAAUAAUGUAACGUAAUAUAAUGUCGUGGUUUACAGGUUAACAGCAUCAAAGGUAGAAAAAAGAGGUGGAUUCUGGUGGUCGACACCAUCUCUCUGCUGGAUAACGGGUCGAGGAAGUCAUUGCAGCUUCUACAAGGACUCAGGGGGACUCAGUUGAUCAUUCCAAGGAUAGGUAAUAAAAACAUUCAGAACAACAGUCUGUUUUAUCUUUUUUCGAAGUUUUGUGCUUCUAAUCAAUAAUCAUGUUAAUUCUAUUUCAGUCAAGAGUGAGCUCGACUCGUUGAAGACGGCUGGUAGAUUGUUCAGAAGAACAACAGAGGCAGCUAAGGUGUUGGAAUGGAUCGAAGAGUGUAAGUCGGAGUCAAACUGGUGGAUUCACGUCCAGAGUUCGGUCGAACUGUCUCCACUGUCGACGCCACCAGCUUCUUCACCCGAGUCAGGACCAGCCAGGAAAAGAUGGUACAGCCCAUUUUCGGCGAGCAGCAACAUGGAAAUGCCCUCACCGAGACCUAAAGAUCACGUCCUUUCAAGUGCCUUGCUCUACAAGAAACUCCACUGCGAUGGGAAGGUCGUCCUAAUCAGCAAGGAUGACAACCUGAAGAUCAAAGCCAUGGCAGAGGUAAAACAAACUAAUAUCUCUCCUCCCAUCACAUUUCUGCAGAGUACCCGUUUCUGAAACUCUCUUUUCUUCCAACUUCAGGGUUUGAUCUGCGAAACGGCUCAGGAGUUCCGCACCAGCUUGGUGAACCCGUUCUCCGAGAGGUUCUUAUGGGCCGAGAGCUCUCCCAGAGGACACACUUGGUCUGUUAAAGAUGACAUAGUUUUGAAGGAAAGGUUUUACCAGAACCCUACAAGGAAGAAGCUGUCAAGGGGUGAGACUGCCACAGGUCUGAAGCUCAUCUUGCUUGACGAAUAUCGAGAUGGAUUCCCCUGCAAAUCCAUCCGAACCGUGUAAGCAUCACCAUCUUUUCCAGUCCUAGACUUUUAUCCUCUGUAACUGGCUUUCUCCACCAGUAUAUUUUUCUGUGAACGAGACAAUAGUGUUGGAUAUUCCACACAGUUUGGUAAUAAUAAAGACGAGAAAGGAGCCUACUUGGCUGCUCUCUCUGUUCAUUGAGAAUUGAUUCUGUCGUUUUAUUAGCUUUAAUUGCAUAACAAGAAACAAUAGGUUAGGAAUCUGCUAACCCUAACAUACAUUUCUUUAUGUUUUAGGUUUUUCAUGAAAUUUCUCCUGAAAAUGACCUUUAGGAUAUGAAUUAUCAAAACCUAGGGUACAAUACUAGCUAUAGUAGCACUACUAGGAAUCCCCACAAGAUUUCUGGCUGUAAUUACACGACCCGGAUAAAAGAAACGAGAACGAACUAUCUGAAUCGUCGAAUGGCUGCCGAUUGAACUCCUGAAACGAAUCGAAGCUCAAAGGAGAGAAGCAAGCAGUGGCUGCAGCAGUAUCGUCAGCAGCUACUACUGACUUGAAGUCCAUGAUGUUCGAGUUCGAGCCGAGGCAGUUGAAAUCGAGAGCUCCUAUUCCAACCUUGUUGUUCGCUGCCGCUGCUGCUUCGAUGUUAUUACUAUCUUCUCCUUUCUCGAAUAAGGCUUUGGUUUCAUCAGGAGGGAUAGCAGGGGUGUGGCCUUGGAAAAGAGCAAUGUGGCCGAAAAGCUUGUCCUUUCUUGAGAAGGUGGUCCCGCACGAGCACAGCCACUUGUCCCUCCCGCAGUGCUUCUCGUGAGUCUUGAGAUCUGCGAUGACCGAGAACUUCUUCGUAUGGCACCUGCUGCAGAUGUAGCUUUUGUCACAGUGAGUUCUCUUGUAGUGGUUCUUGACACAGAGGAUCGUCUUCAGCGGCUGGAACUUCUUGUGAUCCUUGUUCCGCUUGCAGCCAGCGAAAGGACACGAGUAUCUCUUGAUCAUCGCCGGCUCCGCACCGGUCGGCUCCGAACUGGUGGCUUCUUUCGGGGGCUUUGCAAGCGCUGCGGGGGUCUUGUACUCGUCGCCAUGGCCUCGCAUGUGCAUUCUCAAGUUGGCGUCCCUCUUGAACCCUUUCCCGCAUAUGGUGCAGAAGUGAGUGUGCGGGGCGAGGAUCUCUUCCUUUUCGAGCUGCAGGAUUUCGUACGAACCGGGAGGAAGAUUUUCUCCAUCCUCAGUAUCUUCCUCGUCUUUCAUUUCGUGCUCUUCGGUGGAGUAGUUUGUAGCGAGGUCCAUCAAAUCGGUCUGGUCCGGAACUGGAGCAGUUCCAGUAGGUGGUUUUGGUUGAAUCAGUCCGAACUGCUCAAACUGACCGAUCGGAUUCGUUGCUGCCAGUGUGUGCUUAACUGACGGCAGCAGACUGCCAGCCGUGGAUAUCAGCUGAACGAUGAUCGAUGUUAGAUCAGCGGUUACAAGCUGCUGCUGCUGCUGAGUGACGAGCUCAUCAGGCCUAUUCCCGAGAGGUGGAACUUCCUGGUCUUUUCGGCCGAUGAUCAAGUGAACCACGCCUUGGAGUUGGUGGAUCUUCUGCUCUAGAAAUGAAAGGUUGUUGAGCAUAGCCCUUGGAUCCCAGUCUGGAGCUUUGUUGUUGUUGUUUUCGGUACGGUCUUGGUAAGGUUGAUCGAUCCUGAACCCGUAAUCCAUAAGGGAUGGUACGUUCUGUAACGAGAUCUUCGGGUCUGGAUCGUUUGAUGAUGAAGGUUUCGCCCAUGGUUCUCCGCAUAGCACUUCUUUAGGAUCCAUUUUGGCAGAUGUCCGAUUAAGCAAUCCUGCAAAGGACACAAUAAGCAUUGAAAUCAAUCUAUAACCCAAUAACUAACUUCUCAGAAAUGGAUAAUCAGCAAGCAACUCGGCGAUCCUAUUUCGUUACUGCAUUUGUCCCCAAGUAAACAGACACACAAGACUACGGAUUUGCUUCCUCAUUUCAAUAAUCGAGGCGAUAUUGAUGUUAAUGACGUAAUUCGAACUCUGAUACCGAGCUAAAACACACAAUUACACACCCCCUUACAGAUUUGCUUGCUCGAUUCGAUGAUCUUUGGCGAAAUUGAUGUUAAUAAUGCAAUUAGAACUCUGGGAUACCAAGCUAGCUAACCCCUAACCAUUACACACCAUACAGAUUUUCUUACUUGUUUCGACGAUCUGUGGCAAAAUCGAUGCAAUUCGAAUUCUGAUACCGAGCUCAGCUAGCUUAAUCCCUAAAUCAAAACCCAAUGUACAAGUGAUUGAAAUCAACUGCUGAAUCUCUCUGUACAGCUUCACCUCAUCUAAAAAGCCAAAACCCCAAGUUCUCAAAUGAUUGAAAUCCAAAAGCCAAAAAGAUCCCAACUUUCCUGAUCUAAGAACCCAGAGAACCCAUUUCAUCAACUCUUCUCCAUAACCAUAACCCAAAAACCGAUCAGAUUCCUCCAAACAUAACCAAUGAAACCGACAACAGAUCUCAAUCUAAGCAACAAAGAAUCAAAAUCAAUCAAUCAGACCAGAAAAAUCAAAACUAACCCAGCACCUGUAAUCAAAACAGCAGCAGCAGCUCUGGUUCAUCAGACUCUUCAGAAGAAAUGAAUGAAUGGAUUUUUUCUUUCUUUCUGAAGAUAUGAAUACGGGUAAUCGGGUAAUAUAGGACAUCGGCAACCGCAUCGACGUUUUGAAGACACAGUUUUGCCGCAAAGUAGUCAACUCUUUCGAGAGCUGGAAUCAAUCAGAGCCGUUGGUUGUCUGUCAGUGGCGAUGGAUCUGGGCGGUUGGUUGUGAUGGGUGGGGUUGGGGUGGGUGGGUGGGGACCGCCGGUUGUUUUGACGGCUGUGAUUUGUGUGGUGGGAGGGGGAGAUACUGCAGAAAAUCUACUCAGAUUUUUACCACUAACCUAAUAACAAAUAAAAUUAAUUUUAUUUAAUUAUUAAUUAUGGGUGAAUUAUAAUAAAAUUUAAUUUUUUAAUUAUUUUUAACAUGUAUGUUAAAUAUUAAUCGAUUUGAAAAUUUUAAAAUUUUAUAUCAAAAUAAUUCUUUUUUAAAAUAAAUAGAAAUUCAAACUACUUUUGAAAUGGAUGAUCAUGAACUGUUGAUUUAUUGUUUCUCCAAAGGUUCGGAUUGUAAAUCAUAAGGAUUAUAGCAUGUUUACAAAAAUAGACAAUGACGUAAUAUUGUACGCAAUUUAGGUAUUUAAAAAUUUAGUUGUUAAUUAGGAUUUUCCUGUUAUUAGAAUAUAGUUGUUGAUGCAGGUUAUGCAUUAUAUUGUGCAAUAUAGUCCGUGGCAUAGUGCAUGAUCUAUAUUAACGAUUAUAUUUGAAAGAUUUUAACGAUUAAUUGAUGGAUCCAAUCAAGUUAAUCUAUUUUUUUUAGAAUAGGGGUGGUAUCUGAUUAUCAUUCUUCAAGACGAUUCAAAAAACAUACAAUGUGUCCACCGAAGAUACAAACUCCACAGACGAAGUUGUAUGGGACGCGGGUCACCGCCAAAAUAACGGCAACCUCGAUCCUUACUCACAGCUAACGGACAACAGUAAAAGAAUAUAGUCACCAGAAAACAAUAAGCUAAAAAUGUGCAAAAACACGACUAAAAGCAAAGAAAACCCUAGCUAUGGACACUGCAUGGUCCUUAUUGGAACACCAUAAGACUAGUCUCAUGGCCAUUCGCUUAAUCCGUUUAGUUGAGCGACUCUAAUCCCGUUGGUGGGCGAUCAAGGCAAUUCAGGGCUUGGCACUCUCCAUCCUUGAAGUCCUCCUUUCUGAUUCCCCUGUCGAGGCUCCGGGGGCCUCACCGUUGUUUCCAAUUUCGGAAAACCCGGAGGCCAUAGUGGUUGUCGGUCGGCGGUAUCGGUUGGGUGGCGGUGUUGGAGACCGCGCCCGGGAAGCUUGGCUGCCCUGGCGACCCUGACGGCGUCCGUCCGAGCGACGGCGAAGUAGGGACUCGCGAUUGUACCUGAGCCCCUCCUCCCGUUGUUGCGCUAAGAGUUGGCGAGAUUACCGAGGAACUGGAGCGCACACGAUAGACCAUGAGGAGCUUGAUGAUAGUGGUGAUGGAUGGAAGAUGCAGGCGAUUGAAACAAGAAGAAUACGACGGCGGACGUCGUCAACCGAAGGUCCAUUUCAGAGCGGCAGCUAAGGCAGCCUUAGCAACUUCAGCUCGGGCUAACCAAGUCAACCUAAUUGAUCGAGUUAAACUUUUGUUUGUAUAACUUCCUAUAUAUUUUUGUAGAAAACGAAUGAGACAAAAUCGAUGACAGAACAUACCAUGAUUAAGGUUUUGCGUUGACCUUCGAUAGAGAAAUGUAAAUACUUUAUAUACAUUGACACAGUAAACAUUUUGUAAUAAUAAUAAUUAACUCCAUCAUAAUCACCAUGACGAGCGGUUAGUCUUAAUCUUAAUGGACGCCGGCGGGGGGGGGGGGACNGAGCCGACCGGAAUAAUCCACCGCCCCCGCUGUAGUGGUGGUGGUGGUUUUGUGGAAGCAAAAACAUAGUCUUCAAAACCUUCACGAUCAUCUUCCCACUGUUACUCCGGUUCAUCGUUGUGGCCGGGGGGGAGGCACCCCCCCCCCCCCCCCUGCACCGGGGGGCAGACGCGCUUCUGCGGUUUCGGGGAGAGUAACGUUCCUCUGUGGCCGGGAACAUGGUAUACUCUAGGCUUAUCGGAGCCUGCACCCACCACCGUUAGCUCCUCGUUGAAAUCUUCCCACAACAUAUCCAUCUUCUCAUGGUCGUGGAGAUCGAGAUCGAGAAUUUUGCUAGAACGGGUUGGUAUCGUGCUCCUUUUUUCGCGAUCGUGGAGGUGGAGAUCGAGAUUCUUGUCAAAACGGGUUGAUUUUAUUUUCCGACAAGAACUUCCAUUAUUGUUAGAAAGGGUUGGGAUAUUGUUAGAACUGGUGUACUGGGUCAUGUGAAUAUGAUGUUGACUAUCGAGAUUUUUUUCAGAAAGGGUUGAGGUGUUAGGAUAGGUGUACUGGGUCGUGAGAGCAUGAUGUUGAAUAACGAAAUUUUUGUCGGAAAGAACCGGGGUAUUAGAGUUGGUGCAUUGAGUGAUGUGGUGACGAUGGAGUGGAGAAGUGGUGGGAGAGAUGUGCCAAAGGGGAGGAGAGUCGAAUCCGGUCGUGGCCACGGAGGAGGAGGAGGAGGGGGCGGCGGUGGUCGGAAAAGUGAAGUCGUCGUCGUGGGAUUGAGUGGUGGUGGCCAUGUUUUUUGGUGGAGGGUGAUUGAGUGUGGUGUAUGGUGGUUUUUAUUUGAAGUGGCCAAGAGAAUAGUAGUUGAACUACUUGUAUGUAUAAUUAUAAGGUGAUGACAUUUUGGAAGAAUUUUGGUUUGGUUGGUUUUUUUAUAUGAUUAUAUGGAUGAAUAUAGGUGUAGGGUUUAGAUGGAGAUUGGGGCCCGCCGCAUAAUAUAUUUGGGUUUGGGUAGUUACGAUACCCGGUUGAAUCAAUCGGUUCGAUAAUAGAUUUGGGUUUGAAAUGAUUUACGCUAUUUAGUUUCUAUUCAAAUGUUAAUCAAUUUAUAGGUCAAUCAAAUAAUGGAUUAACCUAGUUAUUUGUUCAAUAGGUCUCUGAGUUAUGAUCAGCUACUCACAAAUAUUUGACUUGACGUUAAUUCAUAUCAAUUCAUGUUGAAAUUUUCAACAUUUGUCUUCAUUUAGAUUAAAAUAUUAUUAAUUAGUUACCUUGAACAUGAUCACACUUGCUAAGAUAGUGAAUGUUGUGAACAUGACAUAGUGUAUAUUGGUGACACUAUAGCUGUGUUAAAUGUGUCAAGAGCUUGGAUAAAAUAUUAAACCGUCAAAAUAAUUUCUUGAUUAAUUUCAGACUUACGAUAAAAAAAAAAGAAAAAACCUCAACAUGACACGUAGUAUAGUGUAAUUAUACUCUUAUGUAUAUAUCGUUUCAAAAAUUGCAUAAUUGUAUAUAUCAAUUAUACAAAAAUUAACUUAAUUGUAACGCAGAUAAUAUUUGUACCAUAGAGUAUAGAGUGGUUGGUACUUGGCUGCAAUUCUUAUAUAUUUGGGGUAUCACGAGCUCUCCACACAUAGAUGUCUAAACUUCGCGCGUGAUGACCCGACUUCCCGCAAGAGCGUGGCUUCAUUCCAUCAGGACUCAUUUCUCCACCUCUACACUUCCCUCCACCACACUACCGCCGCAACUCACCAACCUCCGCGACACUCUCCGCGUGGCGUCCACUCGCGGCGAAGUUAGAGACUUAGUUUCCCAAUUCUGCAGCCUAUCGCCGCCGCCUCCGAUCAACUACUCUGAGCACGCAUACGCCGCCUUAUUCCAAGCAUGCGCCCGCCAUGGCUGCCUCAACGAAGGCCGGAACCUACACCGUCACUUACUCUCCACCAAUCACCUCCCCGCCGACCUCUUCCUCUCCAACCACAUCGUCAACAUGUACGCCAAGUGUGGAGACUUGGAGCAUGCACGCGACCUGUUUGACGAAAUGCCCCUGAGAAAUAUCGUCACCUGGACAGCUUUGAUCUCUGGAUACGCUCAGUACGGCGCAGGGGAAGAGUGUUUCUCUCUGUUCUGCGAUAUGUUGGCGGCGGAUGAGGAUUGCCGCCCGAAUGAGUUUUCCUUCACUAGCUUGCUCGCUUGUUGUGAGGAUUUAUACUGCGGAAAGCAAGUACAUGGAUUGGUUUUGAAAAUGGGGUUGGAUUCUAGUGUCUACGUAGCUAAUGCGAUGAUUACAAUGUAUGGCAAAGUUGGUGACUUUGGUUGUGGAGAUGCAUGGAAGGUGUUCGACGAAAUGCGGGUUAAGAAUCGUGUUUCCUGGAAUUCGAUGAUUUCCGUGUUUCAGAUUAGGAGACUGUUUGCGAAAGCCGUUGGCUUGUUUGGUGAAAUGGUUACGAAAGGAAUCAGAUUUGAUCGUGCGACGUUGCUUAGUGUCAUUGCUUCAUUGAGUGGCAGUGAGAAUAGUGUUAGCCAUUGUAAUCAGGUGCAUUGUGUUUGUUUCAAAGCAGGGUUUGCCUCAGAGAUUCAGGUAUCCACUUCAUUACUGAAAGCUUACUCUUUAGCUGGAGGUGAGCCUGAUGAAUGUUUGAGACUCUUCAUGGAGAUGGAUGGCAAUCGAGAUACUGUUUCGUGGACGACGAUUAUCACUGCUUUUUCGGAACAUAAGCCCGAAGAAUCGUUCUUUCUGUUCAGAGAGCUUAUAAGGGAGGAAGGGCGGCUAUCACCAGAUUGGUUCACAUUUUCGUCUGUGUUAAAAGCUUGUGCAGGGCUGGUGACUGAGAAAUAUAGUUUAGCUGUUCAUUCACAGGUGAUCAAAUCUGGAUUCGAGUCCGACACUGUGCUAUCGAAUUCGUUGAUCCAUGCGUACGCAAGGUGUGGAGUCGUUUCCUUGUCGAAACGAGUUUUUCACGAGAUGAAAUACCGCGAUGUUGUGUCUUGGAAUUCGAUGCUAAAGGCGUAUGCUUUACAUGGUAGAGGCGAAGAGGCGUUGGAGCUCUAUUCGAAGAUGGAUGUUCGGCCUGAUUCUGCUACCAUGGUUGCAUUGUUAUCAGUAUGCAGCCAUGUGGGAUUAGUAGCAAAGGGGAUCGAGAUUUUCGAUUCGAUGUAUGGGAAUCACGGUAUUUCUCCUGAACUGGAUCAUUAUGCAUGUAUGAUUGAUAUCCUCGGGCGAGCUGGUCGUCUUUCUGAAGCUAAGGAGCUUAUUAGUAGCAUGCCAAUGGAGCCUGAUUCGGUCAUUUGGAGUUCACUUCUUGGAUCGUGCAGGAAGCACGGUAACACAGAAUUAGCCAGAUUUGCUGCUGCUAGAUUAAAAAAGCUAAACCCUGAUAAUUCGUUAGGCUAUGUUCAAAUGUCGAACAUGUACUUCGUAGGCGGUAGUUACAACGAAGCAGGGCUAGUUAGAAAAGAAAUGAAGAGUUCGAAGGUGAUGAAAGAGCCCGGUUUGAGCUGGAUCGAGAUAGGAAACGAAGUGCACGAGUUUGCAUCGGGUGGUAGACAGCAUCCGGAUCGAGAAGCUAUAUACUUAAAGCUUGAUGCUCUUGUUGCAGAACUAAGAGCGAAAGGGUACGUUCCUGAUACGAGCUUGUCGUUUCAUGAUAUAGACGAUGAACAUAAGGAACAGGAAGUGUGUCGUCACAGCGAGAAGUUGGCUCUCGCGUUCUCAUUGAUUAAUGGCGUCGAGAAGAGUUCAGGUUCUGGCGUAAUUAGGAUUGUGAAGAACAUUCGGAUUUGUGUUGACUGUCAUAACUUCAUGAAGUUGGCAUCAGGUGUUCUUGAGAAGGAGAUUGUGGUUAGAGACUCGAACCGGUUCCACCAUUUCGAGAACGAGAAGUGUUCUUGCAGUGACUACUGGUAACCGAGUAGAAGAACUAACCGGUUCCUUAUGCGUUGAGCAGGGUAAAUCAAAACUUGGCUUUCAAGCAAGUCAGAUACCUCUCUCAUUGUAAGUUAUAAACCGAGUCGUCUUGAUCCGGUCGGUCUUGUACAUUAUAUGGUCCUUUAUCUGAGCAGAUCCGUAACCAUAUUCAGGGUGAUUCUGGUUUAGACCGAAAUAUCAAACCGAAUAGGAUCACUAAACCUUGUUAAUUGUGAUCUUGCAGCUUCCAUUUCAGCAGCCACUCAAGAUAGUUACAGCACAUCUGAGGCUUAUUGGGAGCAGAAUGUCUUCGGCAGGGUGUUCAUCAACAAUCAAUCUCAAGAUGGUAAUAUUCUUCAGGAAGUUCUUGUGAAUUGUGAUCAGAAAUUUGAUGAUUGCAAGAUUAGCUUUGUGUAAAUUUUCUUACUAGGGUUCAUAUCAGUUGAAAUUUUUAACUAGUGGGAAAGAAAUGAUUACCUCAAUAAGCUAGUCAAUACAAGAAUCUGCUACAAAGAUAGAUCCUUUUGUUAUGCUCUUUAUUUAGUAGCCUUGUUGUAUCAUCCGACAUUCAUUAACAUUGUAACUUAAAAAUUAUAGCAUUAAUAAUUGCCAUUGUUUUGCUUCUUUAUGCACUUAUUUCUGUAAACUUCAAUGCAGUUUGGAUGUUGAUGUUGCGCGGUUGCCGGAGUAAUAUAGAUAGCGCACCAACCUAAGUUAGAUUAACAAAUUAAGAAAAAAGAAGAAGGGAGAGGGUUAAUUAAGUUAUGGAUCACAAGUAUCACUUGGGUUGUGAAGCUUUUGAGACUUUCUGAGUUGUGUCACUUAUAAGUUGUUAACUUUUGAUCAAUCCAAAUCACUAAGCGAGUUGGUUCAAGAUGAAAUCAGGCUAAGUCGGUCUGGUCUUCAACAACUUCAAUCUAUGGGCAAAGAUCAACUAGCCUUAAAAUAUACUAAAAUUAUUCACGAGAUGCCGCGGAAAGAUUUAGAGUAUAAAUGAAGAUAUAUGGACUUUUUUUCUGUUAUAGAAACGUAUUAGCAAUAUGAAAGCGUAAGACAAUUUAAGUCAUGUCAAUUGAAGAAUGGAAAAUACUACAAAACCCAUAAAAAGUAAUGUGUGCUUAAAAUAAACCAUUCAUAUACUCAAAAUAAAAUCAUAGUAAACUCAAAAUAAAGUCCUAGUAAACUCAAAAUAAAAUUCUAAUAAACUUAAAUAUAAAACCCUCAUUAAAAAAUCAAAUACUAUUCAUUUAAUAAUAAUUAAUGUUUAUUUUUAUAAAUAAAAAAAGAGCAUGAAGCACUAAAUUAUAUUAAUUCAAGAACAAGAUUUCAUAGGAAGCCAUGAAACAUAACAUGCCCCACUAAGUACAAUGGAAGACUCACAAGUGGGGUUAAUGAACACUAUGAGUUGUGUUUUGUUUUUAAAAAAUUGGGAAUGAAUUGACAUGAUUGUUUAGUUGGCACAAAAGCAACCAAUUAAAUAGGAAAAUAGUUUUCAAAAUCCCAAUCCCUAUCCUCUUACUCAUCAAACCCUCUCAACAUUAUCUCCACACCAAAUUUGUUUUUNNNNNNNNNNNNNNNNNNNNNNNNNNNNNNNNNNNNNNNNNNNNNNNNNNNNNNNNNNNNNNNNNNNNNNGUUUAUUCUACUUUUGUUAUUGUGAUCUUCAAUGGUUCUGAUUUUAGUUAUUGUGAUCAUCACUACAUGUAUCCAUAGUCCUCACCCGUUUUAAUGUUGUUAUUUUAACUUCUGAUGCACCUUAUUAAGGGCGCUUCGUGCCGGUAAGUACAUAGGUUUAAGCAUCUAAUCGAAAUUAAAUGUUGCAACACUUAUUCGAUCCAAAUCUCUGCAUUAUAACUUGUGUCAAUAAGUAAUAAUAUCACAUCUAUCUAAUUACAGUAUGGAAAAACCUCCCUUAGUCGAGUAAAUUGUAGUAAUUCGAACAUUAAAUCGUCCAACUUUAUGGCGGGUGUUGGACCGAUCAUUUUACAUGUUAUGCCGACAUUUAAAUGCCACCUUUUAUGAUCUAUGAAGCUUCCUACAAACACCUAAAUCCAAAAACAAAGACCACUAGUACAAUAAUUAAUCAACUAAUCAAUCCAAUCAAAAUAUCCUCAGAAACUUAGGAAAAAUAUAAUUAAUAUUCGGAUAUUCUUUCUCUUUCUCUCACCACUUCCCAUUUUCCACAUCCCCUCUCUGAUUCUCUUCCUCCAUUAGAACACCUUCCAGAAAAAAACAAUUUUAACUUUUAACCAGUGAUUAAAGCACUAUUACUAUUUAAGAAGAUGAAUUAACCAAUUAACCAGCUUACUCAUAUAUAAACCACGCCUAAGCUUCCUCUGUUUUCAUCAAACGAAAAUCUGCUUAUAACAAUGGCUUCUUCAUCCAAUUUCUCGUGCUUCUUCUUUGCUCUUGUCGUUCCCGUCUCAUUCUCGAAUAUCGAGCCUGGGAUGGCGACUCACCAGCUCCUCCAGCUUCUGCCUCCUCUGCCUGGAUUGCCUCCACUCCCUUCCGCCGGCGACAUCCCAAGGAUUCCGACCAUCCCAAAUCUGCCUGGAUUGCCUCCACUCCUACCGACGACGACAUUCCAACCAUCCCAACUAUGCCUGGAUUGCCUCCGCUACCCUCCGCCGGUGACAUUCCAACAAUCCCAACCUUGCCUGGAUUGCCUCCACUCCCUACCGGCGGGGGUGGACCCCCAAAAAAGGUGACAUUCCUAGAAUUCCGACCAUCCCCACUUUGCCUGGAUUGCCUCCACUUUCAUAUCUUCAAGAAAGUAAUUAAAAAUUAUUUAAGAAAUUCAUAUGUUUUGUUAUGACUUCAUAAUAUAUUGGGCCAAUUUUGCAUAACCAAACAAGUCCAAAGCUAUCCCAAUAGAAGACAACAUCCCAAUUUCGUAAUAGACCAAAUCAAUCGGAUAUGCGAAAAUACAUAUGAUUUGGUGACUUUAGACUCGGGAUUGGGUUGGGCCGGAAUGCGAGGAACCCCACUCCCAACUCCGUCUAUAUCACAAUCUCAAGUCAUCUGUGAAUUGGUGUGAAAGUCUGUAAUGCAAUCAUCCUCCGAAUCUGAUAGCCUUAGAACCAGAUUAAUCAGUGAUUUAUAAUUGAGUAAUUUGUAACCAGACCAACCCGCAUGAUUCACCGCUAUGAUAUCUAAUGGGUGAUGUCAUAUACAAUCUGUAUUUUACUUUUUGUAGUCCGCAUUUUACCAUAAAUGGAUUGAUAUGUCCUUAAUAAAUAGAUUUAUUUACUAUUUUACUAAAAUAACUCUUUAUUGUAUUAGUUAACACAAUUAGAGUUUUAUAAAAAGCGAAUCGACGAAAAUAGAGAUUUUCAAAGACGCUAUUGCUAAGUUUAUAAAUUUUUUUCAGUUUCAAAGUGGUGUUCUUUAUGUGAUUUCUGUAGCUAUAAGAUCAAGUAGCCUGGUAUGUACGGCAUUCAGUUCAAUUCUUUCAAGUUGGAUUUAGAGUUCAUUGGAAUUUGCAGCCUAGUUCUUUCAAGUUGCUUACUGUUUUCUCAUCUUCGAUCUUGCGAAACUUUGCAGUGUCGGGGAAUUCAGCUGGCAUAAGCAUACACGCAGUCUUCGUCACUAAAUCCUCAGGCGAGACACUAAAGAACUUUGCUGGCUCGACUGACACGGAAGUAUGGAUCAUCCCCAGCUAUGAGGAUUCGGCGUGGUCGAUCAUGGCGAUCUCUUUCAUUUCUCUGCUGGCCAUGUCAGCAGUCAUGGCCACUUGUUUCUUUGUCCGGAGGCAUCGGAUAAGAAGGGAACGCCCUCGAUCGUCUCGCAGCGUUAGGGAGUUCCAUGGGAUGAGCAAGCGCCUCGUUAAAGCAAUGCCGAGCCUCAAUUUUACUACGGUCCAGGAGGAUAACUGUACUUCGAUGACUUGUGCUAUCUGCCUCGAAGAUUAUAGCGUUGGCGAAAAGAUCCGGAUUCUGCCUUGUCGACACAGUAAGUUCUUCUUUUCCUUUCCUAUUCAUGAUAGCAAUAGUAGGAAUCGGAAAUUGAUAUAUUUUUGUUAUUUGAAUUUGCAGAAUUCCAUGCUUUCUGUGUCGAUUCAUGGCUUACGACAUGGCGAACCUUCUGUCCCGUGUGCAAGAGAGAUGCACGAACUAGUAACGGAGAGCCACCAGCAUCUGAAUCUACACCAUUGCUGUCAUCAAACGCAUCUUCGUUCGCUUCGUCUUCAGUCCUCUCGUCCUUUAGAUCCACAACAUCAUCAGCUAUAAGAAUCGGCCAGCCAUCCCGAUCCCCAUCAGUCUCCCAUUUCCCUUCUUAUUCGGGCACUCCCUACGGCCAGCAGUCCAUCGGAUCAUAUCACCAGUCACAUUCACUUAGCAUGAGCCGCAGCAACGCUGAUCUUAGGAACAUGUCCUCGCACCGUUCUUCCCACUUUUACCCUUCUAUAUCGCCCAUGAACGCGAGAUACUUGUCCUUGUACAACAACCCGAGCCCCAGCAACGCCUCACCAAGCUUACUAGCCGGUGGUGGCUCCACGAGUUAUCAGCUUCCUCGCCCGCUGCAUUGUAGCGAGUCUGCUGCGAGCUUCUCGCCGUUUGCUUCCACUCAUUCACUUCCGGACUGCUAGGACAGAAACUUGGGGACACGGUUCGUCUUCCGUCUCUGAUUGUAAAUUAUAUGAAGGGGAGUGACGCGACAUUUGUUUAUAGUCUUUUGUUUCCGUGCGAGGUUAUUUUUUUCUUCCAUAGAGAGUUGAUUAUGUAACGGAGUGGUGACUGUUUUCUUACGAGUUCUUCAUGAAAAUUGCUGUUCUUUGCCCCCUUCAUGCACAGUGAAAUAACAGAGUGAUUAUGUGUUCUUCGAGAUCCCACUCGAAGGUGAUAUCGAUAUUCGACACAUCCUGACUCAUUCGGUCUCGGUUGUUACAUCAAUACUACAAUUCAUCUUCGGAAACGCCCACGAUAUCUCAUUUAUGAGAAAGCAUCAACCAAAAUGGAAACUAAACACGAAGAACACGCGGUCAAAACUCGUAACGGUAUUCAACGAAACCCCUUUUCGGUCACAUGUAUUGUAACACAUCUCCAGUAACGGAAAUCAAACCAAAGAACUUAUAUAUACAAGCAAAUCCAUGGUCUGAAUAUCACUAACCAUCAAUGCAUAACAGAAAGAGGAAGAAGAUAGUCGCAGAACCCACAUGGGAAGAGAAGAAGGCCAUUGCAGAUGAGGAAGAGAAGUCAUUGCACAGUGAGAUUCGAGAUCCUCGAACAUGGGUAUGUAAUAUAUCGUCGUUCUUUAAUAGUAGGGGUAAUCAUGUUUCGAAAUCAGUGACAAAAUUUGAUCGAAAAAUGUGUAGAUUGGUAUGGUGGAUGGAAUGAACGAUGGGGAGUUGAUGGAGUACUUGAUGAACAGGCCUAAGGAGCUGAAGAGUGUCAAGAUUCAGAAGAUGAGGAAGCAAACUUAAAGGAACAUAGUUGAAGUAUGUGUCUUUUGUAACAAAACAUCCGAAGUCUUUUAGUCCGAAACAUUAAAAUUUGGACGGAAAAUUUAGCUCAAAGUUCGGGCUAGAUUUGGGUAUUCGGCCACGUCAAUUUGUACCAAAAAGCUAGCCAUUCUAGCACUGUUCUAUGAUUGAUUUCUAUUCGCUUGAUAAUCUAUCUGCGGUGAUUCUUCUGGGCGGCCGCGGUGGUUGUUCGCAUGCAUCACACAGAGGACAGCUGCCGUUGUAGUGGGACUCUGAACUCAAAUUAUCCUUACAGUUGCCCCCAAAAACGGCAGCGUUUUGUGGUGGGACUGUUCAAACUCAUGUUUCUGUAUAUAUGAUGAACUCUCAACAAUCUAAACAUUACAAACACCAAUCGACUACAUUUCUCCAGUUGUUUCAAUUCAUGCCAGCAGUGAGAGUAUGGAAGAAAGAACCAUCAAUCUGACUGCAGAAAGGGCAAAACAAGCUUCUAUGAUUCUCUCCUCCAGAUUUACAUACCUUGUAAACAGCCGGUUCAUGAUGAUCUAUCUCGGUAUAAGUAAAAUCACGAAUCCUGAUUCGACUAGGAUUCUUCAUUUCUGCCCACAAACGGAUCCAGAUUCGAUUGGGAUUACGAGUUUCGACCCCCACGUUUGCUGACAGCUUCACACAGCCUGCAAGGCAAUGUGUCGAGGCUCAAAGCUCGAGUGUUUGCGUAGUUCCCCAUGACACCACACCUUCUCCAUGCGUGAUACUCCCCGUAAGCCACCGGAUCGUUUGCUACAGCCUGAACGUAAGAAGCCAGCUCCUUCAUGGAUUUAAACUUGCUCCCGUCGAUGAUUGAGUUAGGCGGAACGAAAUCCCAAACGUUGGGCGCGCCGAAGUAGAUAGGGACCGCGCCGGAAUCCAAUGCGUAGAAAAGCUUCUCGGUCACGUAGCUCUCGGUGGCGGUAUUCUCGAUUGCCAGGACGAACUUGUAGUGUGACAUUGCACAAUGUAGGUGGUCCCACCAUCUCGGUGUCUCGCUGGUUGCGGCGCAUUCUGGGUACAUCGAGAUGGCCAUGUCGAGUCCUCCGACGUUGUUCAGGCACUUUCCGAACGAAUGGUGAGGUAGCAAGCUGAGGAGGCUCUUUGCGAGCUUGUUUCUUUGAGGAAGGCAGCGGGAGGAAGACCAGUACACGAGCGUAUCCUGUGAAGAUCGAAUCUUUUCGAUUAAUUUGAAUGGUGGUUUGAAAGAAAGAUUGAAGGUUUUUUUACUACUUACAUUGUUCUUCAGUGGAGACACGUGAUAAUUUCGACCGUUAUGGAACAGAGCGCCGGCAUAAGUUGACUGAACGUCGUCUCCGGCAUGGUAACUGAUGAAGAGAUCUUCGACUCCUGAGCGUUUCCGGCCAGCUUCUAGGUCCAUGUAGACACGAAGCGGAUCUCCAUUGCGCCUCUGUCGACCAAAAUAAAAGGGAUAUGAAACAUAAGUGAUUCGAAUCUGAACUGCUUUCUAUCUAAAUUGGUUCUCUUUACGAACGAUGCGAAUCUGAAGUACUCAUCAUAAGAGGCCGAGAAAUUUCUCCAGGUAAACACAUUCAAAUAACCAAACGUUACUCUUUUCUCGGCCAAUAUAUUGUCCAUUCACAGCGAUUCGGAGAUAGUACCGGAACAGACGAGUAAAGAUCCAUUCUUUAUCUAACACAAAACCAGAAAGGCAGAUGCGAAAGGCAAUGCACAUCAGGCGAAAGAAGCUCAGUUAGCCAAUUCCCAUCGCCAUGUCAAUCCGACCCUCUUGCUCUAUCUCUCCGAAACUAGAUUCUUACAUUAAAUUCUUCGACCAUAUUCUAUCCAAUUCAGUCUCAACACCAAUUCAAACUGCUUAGUAAGCAGAAACGUCACUUUUUAUCUAACACAAAACCUGAAAUGCAGAUGCAAAAACAAACUCAAGUGACCAAUUCCCAUCACCAAAUCAACCCGAUCCCUAGUUCCAACUCUCCAAAGCUCAGUUCUUUCUAAUUCCAUAGAACUAUUCCAUUCAUAAACACUCCAUCAACUUACCUAUGAACAGAGAUAAUACCCCAAAACCAAAUCCCCUAUUCACAACACAAGUGAAUAUCUGUUCUUGAUAUAACAGCAAAUAACUAGUUACCGUUCCGUCACAGUUCAACUACAGUUCAUAACUAUUAAAGCAGUUCAUUAGAAUCAUCGGUUCGACAUCCCGGUGAAAACCAUGGAAGUAACCAACAGAAUGAAAAUGAAUAAACCAAUUCACACCACCAAAACCAAUCCAAAUCCGCUUCCCAAUUCAAUACAACAAUGUCCAAGUCACAAACACUCAACGAGAUGAUAAACAAACAUACCUGAAAUGGAGGAGUAGUGGUUUCAAACAUCAAAGCAUCAGGCUUGUCAGCAAGAACAGCCGAUUUAGUCCACAAGCAGCUCAACCCACAUCGACACGAGUACAAAUUAUCCAGAUUAUCAGGGAUCCAAGUCCACCCUUUGACCAACACACUAACAUGCCCCAUCUUCAGCUCCUCACCACACUCCGAAUCCGUCCCAACCCGCUGCAGAGAACCAGCCGACCCAUUAAAUCUCUCCUCCUUAUGCAGUUCCCUGAAUCGAGGACAACCCACCUGAACAUCCCACUUCCUGAAAGCGGCGAUCAAAUCGACGAAAGGGUCGGAAUUGGUCUGCUGGGGUCGGAACUGGGAAACCGAAUCGGGUAAGGAUGAGGAGGCUGGAGGGAAUUGGAGGAAGCCGGCGAAGAAGAGAACGAGGAAUGUUGCGAUCAGCAUCAGGGAUAUGGUGAUUGUGUUGACUGGUCUCUUCAAGAGCAUCGUUUGAGGAAUUCCGGGAGCUUUUUUGGCUCCAAAUGGGAGGUUUUGAGGAGGGAAAUGAAUUGGGGCGGGCGGCGUUUUUGCUUCUGACUUUGGUUUGUUCGGUUACAUUUCGCCGGCGAGGGGAGGAGUAUAAAACGUCAAAGUUAGGCAAAGAGAAGUCCGGUGGUAGCCUGCUCUAUGACAGUGGAAUAAGACAAACCAAUGUCACCAACUAAUGUUUACUAGAAAAAUGUUAAAUUUGGUAAAUAAUUUGUGUAUGGAUUCGACGGGGUUAGAUGACGGUGCGAACAGUCAAGUUAACGUCUUAUAUUUGAAAGAUGAUAAAUUUCGUAAUUAGUUGUAGAACUGGCUUGAUGGGUUAGAUGCUGGACCGAACAAUUAAGUUAAUAUUCUAUAUUUGAAAUCAAAAUUAGGAAUAAAGAUCGAAACUUUUUGGGUUUGGGGUUCGAAGGUAUAAGAAUAGAACACGACAUGGAGGAUUGGAGAAGGCCGAGGGAUGAGAUUGCGCGCAGUGGGCAAGUUUAGUCGAUGAAUCGGCAACGAUGUGCUUUAAUAUAAGUAGAAACAAUGCUAGCAAGGCUCACACCAACAAGGUUAUAACCAAAAAAUGAAGUUCAUCACAUCACUAAUCUUCAUCCUCUAGUACUCCACCCAUUCUCCCCAAACGCCGCCGAGUACAUUUGUGGAAAUUUGGAGAGAUAAGUGAAGAGUAAAAGGAUCGUGUAGAUAAAAUAUGGAUGAGAUGUAUUAAAUGAGUUUUGAUUUGUGUUACACACUUUCUAAUUAUACAAAACAUACUCAUAAAUAGUUAAAGAUCUGUCGAAUCAAACAUAAUUUUAUCAUGGAAACAUGUAUAAGAAGUAAAAAGAAGCAUAAAAAAAUAUAGUUGGGGUGUACUUAAUGAGUUCUGGUGGUAUUAUAAACUUCCUAGUUAUAUAAAGUAAACCGACAAAUGGCCUAGGAAGCCAUCGAAUCACGCAUUGACUGCUUAUGCAGACUAGUCUUGUCAACAUUCACAACGUACUCUUAGAUCUGACCAACGUUUGGACCUUGUACCCGUAUGAUAUACUGGACAGACAGUUUUUCUAAAUUUAUCGAGUCUUCUUCAGCUAAAUACAAUAAAAACUUGUUUAAAUAGAAAAAACAAAAUAAAAAUAAAUAAACAUUACAUAAAUAUCCUUUUAGAGUUAUACUUGAAUACAAACUCAUUGCAUUUAACUCGCCAGCACACAAGUCUAUCCAUAAAGCAAACCCACUUUAACAGUAAAUACAAUGAGAAUUUGUUACGUAAAGAUUAACGAAUUCAAGUUACACGUACCACUAUUGUACAUGCAACGUAACAAAGCCUAAGUAUAGCCCAAUUACUCUUUUGGUCAGCUCAUCAUAAAGCUGAAUGGGCUUCAGCCCCAUCCUUACUAGGGCCUCACCAUAGCCUAUAUGGGCUGGAUAGUUAGAGCAGUUCGACAAAACGGCCCAUUUGAAGACGGUUAAUUAUGCUCGAAAAUCCCUAUAAGGUGGAAAUGAUAUACGUGUUGAGUAUCUGGACCCAAUGAAGAGGUGGUAAAAACAGAGUUUUUUAUCGGUUUCACAAUCAAUUAAGCUUAGAAUUGGAUUGGUCUAACCAAUGGUUCGAUCAACCAAUCGAAAAAUCAAACGAGACAUGAUGGGUCGAAAUCGAGCUAGUUAUGGGCACACCAUCAUGGUCACAAUAGGGUAAAGAAGUAAGAACCCAUAGUGAUAUAAAUGCAAAGGAAUGAGACCUACGAGUUAAUACGGUGCCGUACGAGUGACAGCAUCAACCAAGGUCAUUUUCCCUAAUGAACAAGGUACCUAGAUUUUGACACACAUAUUGAUCACACCUACUACAUUGUCAAUAAACCAACUUGCUAGCAACAAAUCAUUGGGGGGAUCUCAAAGCCUUUCAAACUUUCCAACACUACAGGAAACUGCAGACCUAACAUCGAUUUGUCUUCUUCUUCGAACUGCGAUUGAGUAAACUACUGUCGUUACUAUUGUCAAAAUUUAACGACAGUUACUUAUUUGGUCGUUGUUAAAUUUAACUGUGUUUAUCACAUAUUAUCGUGAAAUGGACUAAGUUAUCUUAUCAAUGCUUUAGGAAGCCUCUGUUAAAUUACAAAUGUGAGGUGUCAUGUUUAGCACUUAUGUUCAUAUUGGAGAUUAAAUCGGUAAAAUUAUAGACAUUUACAUGGGUAAAAGUAAUAUAAUACAAUGGAAAAAACUUUGGUACAUAUGUGUAUACGAUAUACUUUAUUGUAUUUUUGUUAAAUAUUAUGCUUAAAAUUAAGAAUUUUGAGGUUCUUGUUUAGUGUUUAUGGUUUAAGACAUAGUGGUAAGUGUUUAGAGUCUUAUCAAGGGAUUUAUGAUUGGUUAAUUAGAUUUAUGAUAAAAAAUUAGAGUUUGGCGAACGAUUAAGAAUUUUAUUUAAGAGUUAAAAUUUAGUAUUAGAGGGGUAUNNNNNNNNNNNNNNNNNNNNNNNNNNNNNNNNNNNNNNNNNNNNNNNNNNNNNGAAAUUUGGAUGAUAAUGAAAAGUUAGCUCCCAAUUUCUUUUCGUUAGGACCUAAAUUUCUCACUUGAAUAGAAAAAUAUUUAAAAUUUCAUUUUGCAUUCCAACUGCCAAACCGUCCGAUAUACAAUUCUAUUUGAUUGUUAGUCAAUUUCUAAGUAGCCUUUUCUAAGUGACUCGAUUGAAUGAGCCAGAAUGCCUGGAUUGGUCAAUUAAACACAACCCACAUUCAUCAAUAUGACCAAGGACAAAGGAAAGGGAACAAGUUGCAACUUUUCAUUAAUAAUGAAUUCUAUUGUAAUAACUUCUUCUGAUCUAUAGCAAGUGGCAAGAAUAGGAUCUCGAAUUCGAAUCUAGUUGUACCCUUUGAGUUUUUUGAUAAAUGUUAUUAUACACAUUGUUAUGUCAAGAUAUCAAUCCGGGUUUUGAUAUAUCACCAACAAUAUUGUACUUGGAAGCGAGAGGUCUAUGAUGUCGAGGGUGACUUGAACCCCAAAAGCAGGGCUUGAUUAGGCGAAACUUUACAAGCCAGAUUUAUAUGCAUGAUAAUUUAUUUUUGACCGACCUACUCUUAAGUCUAAAAUUUUGAUAAUAUAUAAUUUUACAUAUGUUAGAUACAGAUAUUGAUUAGUAUGUAUUAUAUGGGGAAUGUUUCGGUACUUUGGAGGUAUCGGUAUCUUAUAUACUAAUUUCAUAUUUUUAAGAUAUAAGAUAAAAAAAAAAAUCCUAAAAGUCUUUAUAGUAAACCCUAAACACUAGAGAAUGAUGCUAACAUCUUAAACACUAAAUUCUAACCCUCAAGCAUUGCAUUAUAAACUCAAAUUCAAAAUCGUAUCACAAACUCCAACUUUUGACUAUAAAUCAAAAUUAAUAAAUCUAAAACCCUAUAUAUCAAACGCUAACCCCUAAUAUUAUACCCUGAUGACUAAUGCAAACCUUCGACCUCAAAUUUUUUAAUAUUAAACACGAAAUAUAAAACAAUUUAAUAUACAAAAUAUCAAUACUUUCGAGAUACUAAAGCUUUUUCCUAUAUUAUAUAUAGUAAUGCAUGUUGAUAAUUGAAAAUAGUAUUAUAUACUCUUAUGUAUUUGGAUAAGGUGUAUCCACGUCAGAUUGUUGAUCAAUGUUCAAUAAUUUCAUAUCAUUGAGAUCUGCCCUGGCCAGCAGGGAAACACUUGUCAAACCUGAAAUCAUUCUUUUAUUUAAUCAAAUUUCAUUGUUGUGUGGUCUUUUUCAGGUUUGAAGUAUAGAAAUUAUUCCAACAAAAUACUUUAAAAAAUCAUUUUAUUAAUAAAAUAUUCAUACAAGUUGACGGCGGCGUGCGGUGCACCAAUUGAGAGAUUUGGAUUGCUUCAUAAUUGGGGAACUUCCAACAUAAAAAAUGGGUCAUGGGGAUGGAUUAUUAUAUGUGAAUUUUAAUUUCAAAAAUUGAAUCAAUCAGUCUAAUAAUAUUCUAAAUUGUUUUGAUUUAUGUUAAAAAUUAAAANNNNNNNNNNNNNNNNNNNNNNNNNNNNNNNNNNNNNNNNNNNNNNNNNNNNNNNNNNNNNNNNNNNNNNNNNNNNNNNNNNNNNNNNNNNNNNNNNNNNNNNNNNNNNNNNNNNNNNNNNNNNNNNNNNNNNNNNNNNNNNNNNNNNNNNNNNNNNNNNNNNNNNNNNNNNNNNNNNNNNNNNNNNNNNNNNNNNNNNNNNNNNNNNNNNNNNNNNNNNNNNNNNNNNNNNNNNNNNNNNNNNNNNNNNNNNNNNNNNNNNNNNNNNNNNNNNNNNNNNNNNNNNNNNNNNNNNNNNNNNNNNNNNNNNNNNNNNNNNNNNNNNNNNNNNNNNNNNNNNNNNNNNNNNNNNNNNNNNNNNNNNNNNNNNNNNNNNNNNNNNNNNNNNNNNNNNNNNNNNNNNNNNNNNNNNNNNNNNNNNNNNNNNNNNNNNNNNNNNNNNNNNNNNNNNNNNNNNNNNNNNNNNNNNNNNNNNNNNNNNNNNNNNNNNNNNNNNNNNNNNNNNNNNNNNNNNNNNNNNNNNNNNNNNNNNNNNNNNNNNNNNNNNNNNNNNNNNNNNNNNNNNNNNNNNNNNNNNNNNNNNNNNNNNNNNNNNNNNNNNNNNNNNNNNNNNNNNNNNNNNNNNNNNNNNNNNNNNNNNNNNNNNNNNNNNNNNNNNNNNNNNNNUUGAAUGUUAAGAUAUUAGCUUCAUUAUUUAUUCUCUUAGCUAAAGCUUGCCUUUGCUUACCCUUCAAGCAUAUUUUGAUUAUACCAACCCUACAAAAUUGGUUUAUUGAUAACUUGAUUGACAACCCUACAAUCAAACAUGGAGAAGAAAUAUCAUCUAUAACUCAAUAAUAUCAUAUUGGUUUCAAGCAGUUUUUAUUCGUUUUAACCAAUUAAAAGAAUUAUAAACAAACGUAUGUUAAUAUUUAUAAAUUGAGCAUCUUUGUAUAAAUUUUAUAUUGGAUUAUGAUAUAAGUUAUAUUGAAUCGUGAAAAAAGAUUACGAUCAUCGAUCUUUUAUAAAGAAGGAUGUUACACCAUGGGGGCAAAGUGCGUGUUAAGUAACAUAUUGGAUUUGCAUUAGGAAAAAAUAUUAAAUAAAUCAUAAGCAAUUUAAUAAUUUAAUAUUAGAUAUGAGCUUGCAAUUAACCACCUAACCUAACAACAAUGUCUUGGUCAAUGAAAUAAAAACCCCACAAAAUGAUUAUUAAAUCAAUAAAUAAAAUUAAUUAACUGGUAAUUUGCAAUAUUAAUAAACCGACAGCACAAGUUGCCGGUGGAAAUUCCAAUGCUCCUUCACACCAUGGGUUGGCCACCAAUUGCCAUUGGUUGGAAAAUUGGUUUGGUUUUUUCUUUGGUUUAUGCGUCAAAACCUAACACCAACUAGGCAAUAAGUUUGAUGUUACACGACGCACCAAUCAAAAGUUGAAUCAUGCCAAAUUUAAAGUUCCAAGAUUAUGUAAUUGUGAAAUGUCCUAUAAAAUUUUAAUUAUUGGACUUCGACAAGUUAUGGAUAAAAAGAUCGAACUACUAAUUGUUGAAUCUGACUGUAAGAAGAUUAUCGACUCCUUAAAGAAGAAGGAUGUUUACAAAUCGGAGCUAGGUAGAAUCCUGGAGGACAUCUAUGAGUUGGAGAUAAUGACGGACAUUCGAGAUUGGAUUUUCACUUUUAGGAAAGCAAAUUCAGCUGCGCAGCUGGUCUUGCUGCCCAAAAAACUUGCUGAGAUUGACUGUUUCUUAAUGAUAUACUGUUUUCUCUAUAAAAAAAAACCCUCACCGACCAUCUCAGGUAAAACUCUAUUACAACCAAACCAUAGCCACGUCACCAACUCAAACCGGUUCGGUUUUUUUCUUACACACUCCAAAUUUCUCUCACUAUAAGUACCAGCUCUCCAACUACAUUUUUCUUUUUCCUCUCUCCUCUCUCUUUUCCCCCUCUGUAUAAUUCCCCCUCCCCCUCCUUCAUCCCCUUCGCCGCCGCCGCCAACGCCCACCUACAGUUGGACAAAGGAUAUCUUGUACAAUGCAGACAGUAUUUCUCAGCUAAUAAUUAUUAAAAGGGUUCCCGUUUUGCCCCUCUCAAGAGUCAAAGUCUCUGUUGCUUUUGAUUUGUUUAUACUUAGUGGUGGUGUGCUUCAUUCUGUCACUCUGUGCAAAAAUCUGUGGACUUUUUGUUUGUUUAUUUGUUCUGUUGUGAUGUCACUGUUCUUUGAUAUUAUUUUGUAGUUAAAGCUAUGGUUUAUUUAAUUGUUUUGUACAGUUACCAUAAGGUAAUUAUAUGGAAUCAAUGUAGAUGGUUGGAUAUGGUUAUGGAUAGUUCCCCCCUUAGAAUUGGAUGAUUGAUUACCUUAUUGAUUAUGCUUAAUUGGAUAGUUUCCCCCUUAAGAACUUGUUAGGAAAAGGGGUUUAUAAUUAUACCUAGUUUUGUAUUUGGGGUAAGAAAUUGCUAAUCUUUAGAGAUCUUGGAUAAGCUUUUAGCAUACCUAGGAUUAUUAACCUCAACGAUUCUAUACAUAUUGAAGAACCAGGUAACUUUGUGUCUCUGUGUGAUUUCUCAGUUCACUGGUCUUUUUGUUCUUCAAUUCAUCUCGUUUCGUAACAAAGACGGUGUUAGAUCAGUUGAUUAGACAUACUUGUCGAGCCGGUUAGAGUUUUCUGAUCUCUUUGUUCUUCGUGUUCUUCAAGUCAUCUCGUUUGUACACACAUGUGAAUUGUUGAACCAGAUAAAGUAGUGAUCAUUGUGUUCAAGUCAAGUUCAGUAAUCUUUGCAUUCAUCGAUACAUCUGAUUUUUGCAGCAGGAACUUUGAUGUUUUCAACUGACAGUAAUAAGUGAUCUUUGUGGUGACAGAAGGAGCAAAGAACUUUGUUUACAUUGCUUGGAGUUCAAGAAACCUUCACAAGAGAGUAGAUAUAACAAAUGGAUGGACCAAAGGAGCCAGUAGGUCUAAGAAAUGUGAGCUCAUCAUGCUCCAUAUCAGAGAUGGACGACUUCGAUCUAUCGCGUCUCCUCGACAAGCCGAAGCUGAACAUCGAGAGGAAAAGAUCGUUCGACGAGAGGUCGUUAAGCGAGCUUUCUGUCGGGAUGGGAAGAGGAAUGGAUAACUACGAGAACACGUACUCUCCCGGAGGGAGGUCCGUGUUCGACAGUCCAGCUUCAUCAACUAGGAACUCGUUCGAACCCCAUCCUAUGGUGGCAGACGCUUGGGAAUCUCUCCGAAGAUCGAUCGUGUACUUUAGAGGCCAGCCGGUUGGAACUAUUGCUGCUGUUGACCAUGCCUCUGAAGAGGUUUUGAACUAUGAUCAGGUAUAUAUACUCUCUUGUUCUCUUGUGAUCUUAGCGUAACAAAUCUCUAAAACUAUAAAUACUUGAAACUGGUUAUAGGUGUGUCUAUAACUAGUUAUAAUCUUUGGCGAAGAGACUAUAAAUACUUGAAACUGGUUAUAGGUGUGUCUAUAACUAGUUAUAAUUGUUGGUGUCACUCCUCCGUGACUCUGAUGCUUGUUUAUUUAAUUUUUACUCAGGUUUUUGUUCGAGAUUUCGUGCCAAGUGCGCUUGCAUUUCUCAUGAAUGGAGAGCCAGACAUAGUAAAGAACUUCCUCUUGAAGACAUUGCAUCUUCAAGGAUGGGAGAAGAGGAUAGAUAGAUUCAAGCUUGGGGAAGGAGCUAUGCCAGCCAGUUUCAAAGUCCUCCACGACCCUGAUAGAAAGACAGAUACGAAAGACAGAUACUUUAAUCGCAGAUUUUGGAGAGAGUGCAAUCGGCAGGGUUGCUCCAGUCGAUUCCGGAUUCUGGUGGAUCAUCCUGCUACGUGCUUACACGAAGUCCACGGGAGAUAUGUCACUUGCAGAGACACCGGAAUGCCAGAAGGGUAUGAGACUCAUCCUGUCCUUGUGUUUGUCCGAAGGGUUCGAUACGUUCCCCACCUUGCUUUGUGCCGAUGGAUGCUCCAUGAUUGAUCGUCGGAUGGUAAAAAGUUUCUAUCUUUUUCGCCUUUGAAGGUCAUAGUUCGUCAGAGCAAAGUACUUUAUCUAGUAACCGGCUAUUCUGGUUGUUUAUAACUGGUUAUUCUGGUUGUGACCCCAUCGUAGGGAAUAUACGGUUACCCCAUCGAGAUCCAAUCAUUGUUCUUCAUGUCGUUGAGGUCAGCAUUGUCGAUGCUCAAGCACGAUACAGAAGGGAACGAGUUCAUCGAGAGGAUCGUGAAGCGAUUGCACGCGUUGAGCUUCCACAUGAGGAGCUACUUCUGGCUAGACUUCCAGCAGCUGAAUGACGUGUAUCGUUACAAGACGGAGGAGUACUCUCACACCGCGGUGAACAAGUUCAACGUGAUUCCGGACUCGAUCCCCGAGUGGGUGUUUGAGUUCAUGCCAACUCGAGGCGGAUACUUCAUAGGCAAUGUGAGUCCGGCGAGGAUGGACUUCCGUUGGUUCGCCCUGGGCAACUGCAUUGCCAUCCUUUCUUCUCUAGCCACUCCGGAACAGUCGGUGGCAAUCAUGGACCUCAUCGAAGCUCGAUGGGAGGAGCUCGUUGGAGAGAUGCCUCUGAAGAUCGCUUACCCUGCGAUCGAGAGCCACGAAUGGAGGAUCGUUACAGGGUGCGAUCCGAAGAAUACUAGGUGGAGUUACCACAAUGGAGGUUCUUGGCCAGGUUAGUUAGUUUUCCAUUUUCCUUUGCUUAUCAGCUAAUUGUUCUCAUGCUUACUUGAAUUAAUGUACCAUGGCAGUGCUCUUGUGGAUGCUGACGGCUGCCUGCAUCAAGACCGGUAGGCCACAGAUUGCGAGGAAAGCAAUCGAUCUCGCCGAGACAAGGCUGCUCAAGGACAGCUGGCCGGAGUACUACGAUGGCACAAAGGGUAGGUACAUCGGGAAGCAAGCGAGGAAGUACCAGACGUGGUCGAUUGCAGGGUAUCUGGUGGCGAAGAUGAUGCUCGAGGAUCCUUCGCAUUUGGGGAUGAUCUCGCUCGAAGAGGACAAGCAAAUGAAGCCAGUGCUCAAGAGAUCAUCCUCCUGGACUUGCUGAUCUUAGACUGUGGGGAAAGAACAGAUAGAACUGUUCAACUUUCUUGGCUUUGCUGUUUUGAUUUCUGAAAUGUUAAAUUUGUACUAUAGCCAAAGAACUAUCAUUUGGGUGCCUUUUAUAUCUCUAAUAAGAGGAGCAUUUAGCUGAGCAUAAAGCUUAUCGUAGACUAUCAACAAGUGCCAACAACUUGAGUUAUUUGAGAUGCUAAUCUUAAUCGAUCAAAAUCUUCUUUUAAUAACUCGAGUUUUUUGAAAUGUAACCGUUCUUAAUCAAUUACAUUGUAUAUGUAACUUUUACCAGUAUAAGGUCAUGAAUCAUGUUGAUGACAAUAAGUUACAUCUUUAGAUACAAGGGCACACUGUUGGACUGUGUUUUAAGCUAGAUGGAUGAUGGUUCGGUUGCACUUGCCAAUGAAUAAAACCAAUAGAUUUUUCUAUAUUGUGGGAUAUUAAAUUUGUAGAAAUCAAAAAGAUAUGCUUAAUUAAAUUUAACGGGCUAAAUACUAAAAUAUGCAUAUUUAUUAGACUAUUGUCCUUAUUGAGGAAACAAGGGCACACUGUUGGAACUGUGUUCUAAGCUAGAUGGAUGAUGAUUCAAGUUUGUGGAACUCGAAGACGGCAAAGUUGUAGGCGUAGCAAACGACACGAGCCUGAGAGAAUCCAGCUCGUUUAGCCAAGCGAUCGAACUCGAUGAGAGUCCUCUCUUUGCCCUGAGGUUUGGUGUUGUUUCUGUAAAGACUGAACUGGAGCAUGGCCUUAGCAGCAACAGUAAUGGCUUCAUUAGAGAUCUCUGGGACAAGAGCAUCAAGUGCUACAACUUUGCCAUUCUCUGGUAGUGAUUUGUGGCAGUUGGUGAGGAGUUUCAGGCAUUGUUCAUCGUCCCAUAGGUGCAGAAUCCACUGAAGAAUCAUGAAACACAAAAUUAGACAAAUUUGAGGUUUUUGUUUGAUAAUAUAUGAAUGCAGGAGAGAUUGAUUUGUUUGAUUUUUACCUUCAUGAAGAUGGCAUCUCCUUUUGGGACACUCUCAAACAUGUCUCCUGCUAUAUGCUCCACACCUGCAAUCAGUGAUAGAAUUGGGAUGGUCGAAAAUAUUAUAUUUCUAAUUUUAAGAAAAUUAAUAUAAAAAUAUGCAUGUUCCGGUACUCCCGGGUCUCGGGGAUACGAAUACUCCCCUAUGUGGAUUCACAUAGGCGCCAACAAGGCGUCACGUUGUUGAUGCUAGUAGAUAUGUGGGGUAUGCGUACCCCGAGAGAUACCAAAUUGUUCGAUACCCUCGGAGAAUGUAUUAUCCCAUAUGGUUGCCACCUAGGCGCCACGUCGUCGAUACCAAGCAAUUUUGGUGCUUAGAUGGUAGUUACAUAGAGAGUACACAUACCCUGAGAGGUUCUAAAUUGGUAGGUAUACCUUAAGGGAAACGUAUUAUCCUACAUGGUUGCUACCUGGACAUCAACGAAUCGCCACACCGUUGAUGCCAAGGAGCAUUGAUGUCUAGUCUCAGCAAAACAAAAGAAAAAGUUUAUCUAUAUCCAUUUAUUUUCUAAACUUGACAUGAUUUAAAUUGUCUAACACUUUCAUUUUGCUAUUUAUGUUUCUUAUAACAAAAAAAAGUUCAUCUAUAUCCAUUUAUUCUCUAAAACUUUUCAUAGCAGACGGAUAAUUCUAGUUGCCUAUAAAAGAGCAAGACAACUUUGAUUUUGUGAAUUAUGCAGUGUUUCAUUGCUCCGGAAUCAAGGGACCCUCUAGGCAGUGCCUUAAGUCGACCCAUCCGCAGUUCCUCUAUCACGUCCAAUGUUUAAGGACAUCAUUCAACAGAUAAAAGAUGUCACCUGUAAUUAGUGUUUGAGGGACAUCACUCGGCAUACAUACCUGGAUAUGGUGGAGAUUUUUCGACGACGGAAAGCAGAUCGAAGUUGAUAACCUUGCGAAUAGUCGGAACCCUAGAUGAUAUUAGAUGAACGCUAUAGCCAUUGCCACCACCAACAUCCACAAGUGUCUCCACGCCUUCAAAACCAGAGUACCUUUUUAGGAAUGUCUCCAUAAUUAGAGGGUUGAGCUCUGAGAUGGAACCGAAGAAAGCUUCCCUGUACCGUGGAUCUUUCCCCAAGUAAUCUCCACCGUUCAUUCCGUAAGCCUUGUAGAAUGCGUUGCCUCCACCCUCAAGCACUGAAUCCUUCAAAUGCAUCCUUCAAAAAAUAUAUUAUUCGGUCGGUAUCUCAAUAUUCAUAUUUAUAACGAACCGAAUGAGCAAAGAAAGGAACGAUAGCAGAAUCAUGAUGAGUCGACACAUGUAUAUGUGAUUGAUUCAGUAUCAGAAUCGAAAUAUGUACUGAACCAUAUUCAAAUAAAAAAAUACAAAAUAAAAAUCAUUUUAUUCUUUUUAGUUAAAACAAAAUUGAAUAUGCCACCGAUAAUUUUUUUUCCCUAUAUUUGAAUUAUUUGAACUAAUUUUAUGAUUUUUCCUUAUUAGUAAAUUGAUUAUAAGUUUAAAUUUGAUAAAUUAUCUACUCUAAACAAAAAAGUAAAGAUAAAUUCAAAUACUAUUAGGCAAAUUACACAAUCAUAAAAAAUAACUCAUAAUUUAGUACUAGAGACCAGACAAUAAGAGAGUUAGAACUCAUCCUAACUCUCUCUAAUUUUGACAUGAUCAAACACCGAACUGAACUUAAGACUGGCUUGAACUGAACUCGAAACAAUCGUAAAUAUAUACCCUAAUUUAAUGAUAUUAAACAGAAUUGAAGUGAACCGUGACUCCCCUCCAAUUACAACCAUGAUAAGUGGGAACAUUAGUGCCCUAUCUCGUCCACCCAUGAGUCGAAUAACCCACUCAAACUGAAUCUAACCGAUCAACCAAGUUCUCGUGUACAAACAAGAAUGAAGGCUCACGUCAUAUCUAAAAAAACCGAGUCAAAACGAUCAAGCCAAACCGAUUAAACCAGAAUCACUUACCAAGCAUCAAGAAUAACUUUGUCCUGAAUCAUACACACCAAAGGACCCAAAGACCCAUCACCACCCUUCAGAAAGAACCUAGCCACGGGCGCCAAUCCGUACGACCCGCGGAUCGACUCAUCAUCACGAGUCAUGAUUGAAUGGGAAGAAAGGAGUCGGAGGAUCGGAUCGAGCCGGUCAGCAAUCGACUCAACCCGAUCACGAUCACCACCACCAUAAUUAGCAAGGUGGGAAGCGAUCUGAGAAGGGGUGAGGGAAGCUCCCGGUCCAGCCGAGUUUAUGAUGUCCAACACGCCUAGCUCGAUCGCGCCCUUUAGAGCCAUGGGCACGACGGAAGCUGUCGCGAGCUGUAUCGCGUACAGCUCAUCGUCAUCGUGGUCUGCUGCCAUGGGAGAUGUAUGGGGAGGUGGUUAAUUUGCUAGUGUUUCGGGUUCAAAUUCCGAUGUGGAGUCUCUGCUUCAUAUAUAAAUGCACAUGUUUUGUCGUGUUAUGGUCUUAUUGGAGUUGCAGAUUACCCACGGCUGAUUAUUUUACUUUGUUGGACUGGUUUUAUGUUGACCGGCGGCGGCUGUGCGUUUACUUUUCUUCAAGCAGCUGAAGACUUUUCUACGGAAAAAAUUAAAAGGCAAGAUCGAAAAAUAUUCCAUUGCCGGGAAUCGAACCCGGGUCUCCUGGGUGAAAGCCAGAUAUCCUAACCGCUGGACGACAAUGGAA